rnacentral:lncRNA from 1 species
GUAUGGAGAGUGGGACUAACCUUGGAAGCAAAGGUCCCCUGAGGCCAGUUGAGCAACCCGGCAACCAUUUGCCCUGUUUGAUUGCAAUCGUCAUCAAUGGCCUAGAAAACCCAUGCCCACAUCAGAAAACAACAAUCCACCAUAAAAAGAGUCUAGGAUUUUCACGGAAUCCGCAAAUUUAUUUUUAAAUCGUUACCAAAAACCCUAAUCUCUGGGCACGAAUUCACAGACCUGUUUGCCCAGAAUAAGGAGGCCAGGCUUCUCCACAUCGACGAGAGCUUUGAGAAGCUUAGCAACUGAAAGUGGGUACAGAGUGGCGGAAGCUUCGACGUGGAUGGCCCUAUCGGCGCCCAUGGCGAGACCCGUUCUGAGCGUGUCGACGCACUGGCUGGGACCCACACUGACAGCGAUAACCUCCGACGCCAGACCCGAUUCCUUGAUCCUCAGAGCCUCUUCCAAACCUAUCUCACAAAAGGGGUUCAUCGACAUCUUGACGUUGCUGGUCUCCACGCCGCUCUGAUCGUGGGUUGGCGAUUGUUAUUGGAUGAUGAUGAAAUUACAGAUACUGAAUAACUUGAGAGUUUGGAUUUGGGUUACCUUGUCGGAUUUGACUCUGAUCUUGACAGCGUAGUCCACAACACGCUUUAUCGCCACCAUUAUCUUCAUCUCGUAUAUGGGUGGUUAUCUUCUCCGGCACAAGGGUAUUGGCAAAUGACUGAUGAUGAAGGACGAGGAUAUUCGCCCGAGCCCUACUGCACGACACCACAUCCGCUUAUAAAAUCUUUUGAUACGGAUAAGUACAAGGGAAGUGGAAAAAAAGGAUUAUUAAGAAAAAUAAAUAUAUUACCAAAAAAAUUAUUUAAAAUUUUGUUCAUGUAGAAAGAACCCGUGAAUCAGAUCGAAAAAAUUAUAUUAAAACUGCUGUAUAGCCGAAAAUUGUGUACAGAAUUUAUUUUAACAUUGUAUUAUUGAAUUUUUUAUUCAAAAAUUGCUUAACGUGAGAUAGAAAUUAAAAAAUCAUUAGUAAUUUUGUCCGAAAGUUGUUAUAUUUCAUGUGUUUUAAAAAUAGAUGUAAUUUAUUCCUAUUUGCAUUUUUAACGUACAUUUAAUUAAAUAACCCAAAAAGUUAUUGAGUUCACAUCAUCUAUGGAGUCUACCUCUCUUUGCUUUUGUUGCUUCCAAAAAUACCAUACUCCCAUAUUUUUUUGGUUCUACUCAUUUUACUUUAUUUUUUUCAUUCCAUUCAUUCCACGUGAAGUCUUCAAUCCUAAUAACAUUUACUAUAUUACAAUUAAGUUUAAUUUUUAAAAAACUUAAUUAGGGUUAAAUUUCCUUUGAGAGAACUUCAUUACAAUUAUUUGAGUUGUACGUUAAGUUUCAUUUAAAAAUAACUUAUUUAAAAAGAUGUUAAGCUUCCCCUAUUUUAUUUAUAAAGUUUAAUAUCUAUUUGAUUUUAUAUUUGAAAUCCAACUAAAACCUAAUAACGAAUUGUUGUAAAAAAACUCCAAUCAAAAUACUAACAAAAAUUAAAACAUAAAACUCUGAUAAAAAAUUGUUAAAAAAUCCAACAAAAAAACAAUCAUAAAAAACCCUAAUCAAAAACAUCAUGGAAGUUUAAAUGAAAUUGCCAAAAAAUAAAAAGUAUAGAAAACCCUAACAAAAAAACAACACCAAAACACCUGACAAAAAACAAUUACAAAUUCUAGCACAAAAACCCCCAAUUAAAAAUAUCUAUAAAGAAAAACCUAAAAAAAACCAAUUAUAAAACCUCCAACAAAAAAUAAAGAGAAAGAUGAAGAAUAUGAAAAAUUUUGAAGAAGAAAGAAACAUGAGAGAACUAUCAUUGAUCUUUAUUUGUUAAUCUUUGUUAUAUGUUUGAACUUCACUAGAAAAUGAGAGAGAGAGCAUAAACCUAAAGAGAGAAAGAGCUGAAAAUGAGAGGAGAAAUGAAUCACAAUGAGGGGAAUGACAAUUUGAGGAAAUAUAGAAGGGUUAAAUCAUUUGAACUAGGUUAACGUUUUUAUUAAAAAAAAAGAGUAAUGAAGGUCCUUGUUCUAAUUUCAAGAGUAUGUCUGUUAAUUACCAAAUGUGGCAACUCUAAAUAAAAUCCUUUGUUAUCAACUAAAACUAAAAGUCCCAUUACAUCAUAUCCAACUUUCAUUUGUUAUCAACAAAGUAAAACUAUAUACAACUAUUAUCACCAUCUCUCCUAUUUUGAUGUUAUUUUCUUAGAUGAAUUUGUAAAUCAAAAUUUACACCACCCAUAAAUUUUUUGAGCUUCCUAUUUAACACAACUUCAAUUUGUUAUACUUUGAACAUCACAAAGAUAAAGUAAUCAACAUUUUGCUUGGACAAGUUUUUCUUCUCUAAAGUUUAGAGUCCUAUUUCACUUCCCGUUUAUGGGUUGUUAGUUCAUCUAAUAUCUCACCAUCAUCCAUUCCAUGUACUGUGUUUCCGAAAUGAGUUGAUUCCACAUCCUAAAUGUCUGUGCAAAUUAAUAAGGAAUGUCGAGUUACCAAUUUUCUUAAAAGCUUAAUCUUGCAAGAUUUGGAUUCAAAAUGCAUAUCAUGCUCUCUUUAACACCCCUCCCCCCUCUCACAUGUAGCCCUAUACCCACACGUAGAGAAAUAGACUUAUAGGAAAAUUGGUAGUUUAAUAUAGUAUCAGCACUUGGUUUGGUGGGAGGUCUCCUGUUUGAGUCACCUCUCCACAAUUUACAUUUCUCCUAUUUGUUUAAUUUACAGUUCUUCCCUUAAUCUGUAAUUCUUUGGAUAUAAAUUUUCCCCCUAAUUUGUAGUUUUGUGGAUAUGAAUCUCUCUUCCAUGUUCAGGUAUGGGGCCACACAUAAGAGAGGGUGUUAAAGAGCAUGAUAUGCAUAUUAAACCCAAAUCCUAUAAGUUAAAACUUUUAGGAAAAUUGGUAGUUUAACGCUUUUAGGAAAAUUGGUAGUUCAACAUGUGUACACCCCAUUUUGGGGACUGCUAUUGCUCCCACUUCUUUUUGUCAAAUGGUGGAGCUUUUUAGGAGCACAUGUUGUAUUUGGAAAGGCUAUUAGAAAAUGGCAACAUGACUGUUAAUGGAAGUAAUGAUUUUCUAAAAAGGCAACCAUGGGAAGACACAUAACAAAGAUGUUUGGGGAGGAGGGAGAGUGUGCAUCAAGACUACUCAUGAGGGGUAAGAAACAAAAAAAAAAAAGUGUCGAAGAUAACUAAAAAAUUGGAGAAACAUAAAGGAAUAAGGAUUUUAGGGCUAUGGAUGGUGAACAAGAGUGAAUUAUGGGUGUCUAGGACAGCUAGGAAUGGUGAGAGGAGUAGGGAGCUGUAGAAGGUGAUGAGCUAGGUAAGAUGUAUUUUCGAGAAAGAAAAGAACCAAAGAAAGAAGGUGGUGAAUUAAGUGAGACACGUCUCAGAGAAGCAGAGAAAGUUGGCUUGAAGCCAAGCAAACUUUUGCUUGAGAUGAGCAUUGCCUAGUAAGAUUGUUUCGAUUCAUCGAUUAUUACUGAUCAUCAUACUUCUCUUGUCUUAUAUUCAUGUGAUUAUUUUACAUUGAUUGUGGGGUUGCUUUGGUUUGGUUAUUAUGGCUUCAUCCUCUAUUUCUUUAGUUUUAUUCAAGGAUAAAUCUAAUUGUGCUUUGAUUAGUUAUUCCAUAUUUGAAAAUCUUUGUGUAUUUUGGGUUUUUUCUCUUUAGAUAUUUUCUAGAUUAAUCCACUGACCUUUAAACCCACAAAUAAAGAAAAAUGAAAUGAGUUUUUUCAUAUUUGUUGGGUGUUUGGCCCUUGUUUAUCUUUUUUUAAAGCUUUAUUCCUUUAUAUUCUCUAUUUCUCCCCAUUUUGUACAUGGGUGUUUCAAUCAGAGUCUCUAUUUUGGCUUCCACAUUUGAGAUUUCUUUUAUGAGCGAAGACCCAAAAAUGGAGACUGGCUUCUUGUAAUUGAUAAAAUAGUUAGUCACCCAUUAGCUUAGAUGAAGCAUAGAUGUUAACCGGAUUGUGAACAUGGAUACUCUAUUUUGGGCCUAUUAGGCCUUCCAAUCCUCUCUUAGUUUCAUUAUUCUUGAGGAUAGUGUUUGGUUGUGUCUGCUACUUAUUCUGUGGCUUCGGUGGUCUGUUUGUUUAUUCUUGGCUAUUAUCAAUGCUAACAAUGGGAAAGAGACUGGUUUUGGUUAUGCUCUUACGGAUUUGAAGGUGAUCAAAGGGUCCAGUGAAGAGAAGAUUAGUAGGUCAUAUUAGGUUAAUUAAUUAAUUAGGACAUGUUUUGAGUUAUAUUAAGUAAUACAAGCUCUUAGUGGGCUUAAGUAACUUAAGCCUAGUGGGGAAUGCCAUAAAUACCCCUUAGGGGUUAGCAUUUCCAUAGGUUUUUCUAGAGAGUCAUCUUUCACCUCCAAAGAAGGAGAGUCAUAGCCUUUACCAUUUUUUCCAUCAUUAUCGAAGUGUGUCAAGAUUAAGGUUUAAGUCAUUGAGCGGAAGACUCCAGGUUUAUGAGACUUCAUACAACUUCGUUUUUCAUUUUCAUCAAAUGGAAUUAAUUUGAAAACAUUUGAAUCUGAAGUAUGGUUUUUGUUAGCAUAUUUCGAAUCCCUUUAAAGUUUAAAAAUGCAAAUUUUCCACUAUGUAUAGGAUUUAAAAUCGCUUAAGAUAGUUAAACAUGUUCCCCACUUGAUCUGAAUUGGGAAACGGAGAAAUCUGAUAUUUUCCCAUCACAAGGUAGGAUAAGAACUUGUGAUUGAUCUUUAUGGAUUGGACUAAUUAAUUAAUUGGAACCUAAUUAGGCUAAUUAAUUAAUUAAGACCUAAGCAAACUAGUUUAAGUUACACAAGCCUAGGAUGGACUUAAGUGACUUAAGCCCAUGGGAAGCUUAUAUAAACUCCUUUAGGGGUUAGGGUUUCAAACUUUUAUCAUCUAGUCUUCAAUUCCUUAAAGAGAAUAGAACUCGAGCCAACAACUCUCCUAAAGGAUUCUAUUGCUCCGUGUCAAGAUUCGAAAAAAAACUAUUUGAUGGAAGGUUGUUAUGUUUAUGAGAUUCGUUAUGUUUUUUUACACCUUUUCACUAAAUGGAAUUGAUAUAGGAAUGUUCAUAUCUCAAGUGCAACACACUUAUUCUCUUUAGAUUUAUAUUGCUUAUGGUUUUUUUUUUUUUUGUCAUGGUUUUCCGUUAAGAUUAGAUUAAGAGAGCCCUAUGUCAUAGAAUGCUUCAAAUGAGCCUCCCCGGGGGUUUGUAUAGAGCCCAUGAAGCUUCUAGAGACUCCUAUACUUAGCCAUUGGUGGGAAGAGUGUGAAAGGUUCUACAGAUGUCUAGAGAUAUUUACACAUCUCUACACUAUGGUGGAAGGCAUGAGAGGAGUCUAAGGCAUUCUAAAGAAUUAUAAAGAUCUCUUAUAUAUUCUUGUACAUAGGCUUGUACAUAGAAUUGUGUAGGAAGUUAUAGAUUAUUCUUGAGCUGUAAGGAACCCUCCAAGGUUCCAGAGAGUUCCAUUGGUGCCUAUAAAUAGGUGAAUGCCUCAUUUGGCCAAGACACUAAGCAAGUGAAUUCCAAAACACUUGUAAAGCUUCCUUUGAAUAAUAAAAGUUUCAAUUCUUCAAGAGUUGCCUAUUAUGCCUUCUAAAACUUCUAAGUCAUGAGCAUCUUAACCUAACAAGUUAAGCAUUGGGAGUAAUGCUAACUUAGCAAGAUCAAGGAUCUUGACUUGUCUAAGUGUUGCACGAUCUUAGGAAAAGAUUAAGUUUGUGACAGUUGGUUUCAAAGUGUGACUACGAAGUGAGCAUAGUAAAGGAAACAUGUCGAGCUUCAACAUGGAGGAAACUAGUGAGCAAACCCGUGGGAAAGAAACCGAGCCUACUGCAUAGGACAGGGACAUGAAGGAUAAAUCUCGUAAUGCCAUAGCCAACGUGGAGGCAAGGCUAGCCAAGGUGGAGCUAGCCAUGGCAGACACCCGGGAAGGGGUGGACUUAAUCGAGCAAGGCAUGGAAAAUGGCUUAGAGGAUCUAAAUGAGCAUAUCCAAGACCUUCAUGAGAGAGUGCUAGGCUUACAAGUUCGGCCGAUGUCAUAUGAGGAGUUCAUGUCCUUCCAAAACGAGGUCAUGAGCAUGUUUGCUAGCAUGGAGUCGAAGGUGGAGGCCUUGGCUGCACGCAUAGAGGCCCAAGACCAAGAGGUUCAACAAGAGCUAGCUAUCUACAAGACUGUCUUAUCAGCACGAGUCAUGGCCACUCAUGAGGCACUAAGGGUGGAAGUGCCCAAACCACACACGUUCAAUGGCAAGAGGGAUGCCAAGGAGUUGGACAAUUUCUUGUGGCACAUGGAGCUCUACUUUGAGGUUAUAACACUAAUAGAUGAAGCCACUAAGGUAUGUACCACAACCCUCUACCUCACCAAUAAAGCUACUCUAUGGUGGCGUCAGAGGUUUGCCAAUAUAGAAAAAGAAAUGUGCACCAUAGACACAUGGGAUGCCUUUAAGCAAAAGAUCAAAAAACAAUUAUACCUUAAUGAUGUGGCUUACCUAGCAAGGAAAAACACAAAAUGUCUUAAGCACACAGACUCGAUCCGUGAGUAUGUCAAAGAAUUCUCUACACUUAUGCUUGAGAUACCCAACAUGUCUGAGGAAAAGCUACUAUUCAACUUCAUGGACAACUUGCAAAGCUGGGCCGAGCAAGAGUUAAGGAGAAGUGGUGUCCAAGACCUAGCCACGGCCAUGGCGGUAGCGAAGUCCUUGGUGGAAUACAAAAAGGGAGACUCUUUUAAGCCCAAGCCACAGUCUAAGGGUAAUCAUGCUAAAGGUGGGGAAACAAGGGAUCAAGGAGGUACACUCCUAAGGAAUGAUCAAGCAAGACCUCUGGUGGCAAGGAUGGUAAGGGUAAGGAUAAACGGAAAUAGUUCACGCCUAAGAUCAAUUGCUUCCUAUGUGAUGGUCCACAUUGGGCGCGAGACUACCUCAAAAGAAAAGCCCUAAAUGCCAUGAUCGAGGAAAAGUAGAAGGAAGACAAUGCUCAUGUGGGAUCAUUACAACUCUUAAAUGAUAUCAAGGCUAAGUCAGUGCUUAAGACACCUCAAAGUAAAAGUCUAAUGUACAUAGAAGCCCUUGUAAAUAGGAAGGCUACCAAGGCUUUGGUGGACACUAGUGUCACUCAUAACUUUGUCUCGAAGGAUAAGACAAAGAACUUAGAGCUCCAAGCAUCUAAGGAAGGAGGUUGGCUCAAGGCAAUUAAUUAAGUUUCCAAGCCAUCACACGAAGUAGCACGCAGGGUGGCAAUGCACAUUGGCUCAUGGGAAGGAAUGGUCGACUUCACAGUGGCACCCAUGGACUACUUCAAGAUGGUACUGGGAAUGAACUUCCUAUAGAAAGACAAGGUCAUGCCACUACACUUCCUACAUUUAAUGGUUAUCCUAGAGGAUGAAAAGUCAUGCAUAGUCCUUACGGUCACCGAAGGUUCACCCAAGACCCCUAUGAUAUCGGUUAUGCAAGUAAAGAAGGGAUCAAAGAGGAAAGAGGUGACCUACCUCACCACUCUUAAGGAGGAAAAUGAUGAUGAGUUGGGGGAGCCCAUGCCUAAGGAAAUCAAGAGAGUCUUUGAUGAGUUCAAGGACGUGAUGUUGCCUAAGUUGCCUAAAAGACUCCUUCCUAGAAGAGAGAAAGAUCAUAAGAUCGAGUUAGAUGCAGGAACUAAGCCCCUUGCUAUGGGGCCAUAUAGGAUGGCACAACCCAAGCUGAAAGAGCUAAGGAAACAACUUAAGGAGUUGUUGGAUGCAGGGUUUAUCCAACCAUCCAAGACUCCCUAUGGCGCACCGAUUUUAUUUCAAAAGAACCAUGAUGGGUCCCUACAGAUGUGCAUCGAUUACCAAGCACUCAAUAAGGUAACAAUAUAGAAUAAGUACCCCAUUCCACUCAUUGUUGAUCUAUUUGAUCAACUUGGUAAAGCAAGGUAUUUCACUAAGUUGGACUUGAGAUCAGGCUACUACCAAGUGAGGAUUGUGGAAGGAGACAAACUGAAGACUACAUGUGUGACCCGAUAUGGCUCAUAUGAGUUCUUAGUGAUGCUCUUCGAUCUCACCAAUGUACCAACAAUGUUUUGGACACUCAUGAAUAAGAUCUUCCAUCCCUAUUUAGACUAGUUUGUGGUGGUAUACUAAGAUGACAUAGUCAUCUACAAUAGCAUCUUAGAGGAGCACGUGGAGCAUUUAAGGAAGGUCUUCAAGAUCUUAAGGUAAAACGAGUUAUAUGUAAAGAAGAAGAAAUGCUCAUUUGUUAAAGAGGAUGUGAGCUUCCUAGGGCAUCGCAUCAAAGAUGGCAAGCUGAUGAUGGAUGACAACAAGAUGAAGGUCAUCUAGGAAUGGGAUCCACCUACUAAGGUACCUCAACUAAAGUCUUUCCUUGGCUUGGCUAACUAUUACCAGUGGUUCAUCAAGGGUUACUCUACAAAGACAGCUUCACUCACUAAUCUUCUUAAGAAGAACAAGGCAUGGGUGUGAGACAAAAGGUGGCAACAAGCCUUUGAAGAUCUAAAAAGUGUUGUGAUUGAGGAGCCAAUGUUGGCAUUACCCAACCACAUGAAGGUUUUUAAGAUACACACAGAUGCCUCAAACUUUGCUAUUAGGGAAGUUCUGAUAAGAUAGACAUCUAAUCGCCUUCAAGAGUUGCAAGCUAAAUGACAUAGAGAGACGCUACAUGGUACAAGAAAAUGAUAUGACUGUCAUUGUCUAUUACUUGCACACCUGAAGACACUAUCUUCUAGGGUCUCACUUCAUAGUGAAAACCGACAAUGUUGUCAUUAGUUACUUCUAAACACAGAAAAGUCCUAAGUAAGCUAGGUGGCAAGACUUUCUGGUUGAGUUUGACGAUGCGCUGGAGUAUAAGACAAAAAGUACUAAUCAUGUGAAUGACGCCCUAAGCCGUAAUGUAGAGCUAGCAUUCAUGACGAGCCAGCCCCAAUGAGACAUAAUAGAUCUUCUAAGAGAGGGGUUGCAACAUGAUCUAGUGGCUAAGAGCCUUAUUACCUUGGCCCAUGAGGGAAAAACUAAGUGUUUUUAGGUAGAGGACGACCUACUCUACACUAAGGGGAGACUACUCUACGUGCUUAAGUGGGGGAACAUAAGGUAGAACUUGAUUAAGGAGUGCCAUGACACCAAGUGGGUUGGGCACCUUGGGCAACGACGCAUAAAGAGCACUACUCGAGUCAGCUUACUACUGAUCUUAGAUACAAGAUGAAGUUGAGGCAUAUGUGAGGACUUGUCUUGUGUGCUAACAAGACAAGGUAAAACAACAACAACCUAGAGGCUUGUUGGAGCCACUACCUAUAGCAGAGCGUCCAUGGGAGAGCAUCACCAUGGACUUCAUCAUCGGGCUACCUAAGUUGGAGGGCUAUGGCUCGAUCAUAGUGGUAGUGGAUAUGUUCUCUAAGUAUGUGACCUUCAUAGUAGCCUCUACUGACUGUACUGCAAAGGAGACAGCAAGGCUAUUCUUGAAACACAUGGUCAAAUACUGGGGGUCGCCUAAUUACAUCAUCAGUGAUCGCGAUUUGCAUUUCACUAGGAAGUUUUGGACAAAGCUCUUUAAGCUUAUGGGUUUGAAGCUUCACUUCUUCACAAGCUUUUCACCCGUAAACAGAUAGGCAGAUUGAGAGGGUGAACGCCUUAUUAGAGUUAUACUUAUCCUUCAUGAGUGUCAACCAAAAGGAAUGGACUAAGUUGCUAGAUGUAAUCCAAUUUUCAUACAACUUGCAAAGAAGUGAGACAACCAACAAGAGCCCGUUCAAGCUAGCCAUAGGGCAGCAACCAUUGACUCCUCACACACUACCAAUAGGCUAUACGAAGAGAAGUUCAGCGGCUUUGAAGUUCACUAAGGGGUGACACGAGCCAACUGACAUAAUAGCUCAUACUUGGAUAGGGCCGCUAGAAAGAUGAAGAAGUGGGCUGACAAAAAGCGACAUCACACUGAGUACAAGGUCGGAGACAUGGUCUUUGUCAAGCUCCUUCCUAAAAAAUUCAAGUCACUAAGGCCGGUACAUAAAGGCCUUAUGAUGAGGUAUAAAGGACAUUUCCCCAUACUUGGAAAGGUCGGCAAGGUGUCCUAUAGAGUUGAGUUACCACCGAGGUUGAAGAUUCAUAUCGUCUUCCACGUAAGUUACAUAAAAUCAUAUCACGAAGACAAGAAUUAUCCAAGCCAAGGGAUGUCCUAGAUGACACCUACAUCGAUUAUGACCUUCUAUGACAAGGAAGUAGAACACAUCAUUGCAGGCUGAGUCAUCAAGAGAUGAGGCGUGCCUCCUGCUACGGAGUACUUGGUGAAAUGGAAGGGACUACCAGAGAACGAGACUAGCUGGGAGCCAAUAGAUGCACUAUGGCAAUUUCAGGAGCACAUUAAGUGGUUCUAGGUGGAAGGUGCGACAAGGACGUUUACGGUUUAGGUAGGGGAGAGUGUCAUAGAAUGCUUCAAAUGAGCCUCCCCAGGGGUUUAUAUAGAGCCUAAGAAGCUUUUGGAGACUCCUACACUUAGUCAUUGGUGGGAAAAUGGUGGAAGGUUCUAAAGAUGUCUAAAGAUAUCCACACAUCUCUACACUAUGGUGGAAGGUAUGAGAGAAGUCCAAGGCUUUCUAGAAAAUUCUAGAGAUCUCUUGUAUAUUCUUGUACAUAGGCUUGUACAUAGAAUUGUGUAGGAAGUUUUAGAUUAUUCUUGAGUUGUAAGGAACCCUCCAAGAUUCCAAAGAGUUUCAUUGGUGCCUAUAAAUAGGUGAAGGCCUCAUUUGGCCAAGGCACCAAGCAAGUGAGUUCCAAAGCACUUGUAAAGCUUCUUUUAAGUAAUAAAAGCUUCCAUCCUUCAAGAUUUAUCUACUACGCCUUAUAAAGCUUUCAAGUUGUGAGCAUCUUAACCUAGCAAGCUGAGCAUUGGGAGCAAAACUGACUUAGCAAGAUCAAGGGUCUUGACUUGUCUAAGUGUCGCACGAGCUUAGGAAAAGACUAAGUUCAUGACACCUAGGACUAGUAGCAUGCACCCUAAGUAAUCCAAGGCUAGAAAUGAAAUGAUACAAGGAUUCCCAACACUUGACUUAAUUCCUUAGAAAUUGAAACUCAAUAAAAAACAUUAGUGUCAUUAACCUCAUUUUUUUUAUUACCAAUACUUAAUUAGGGGAAACCUUGAGCUAACAACCUCCUCAUUUUUUAUGAUGAUAAAACUGUACCAUCUAAAGAAAGCUUUCCUUAAUGUAUGCAUAUUAUAAGCAAUUUAAACAUUCAUCAUAAAAGAUGGAAAACAUAAACUCAAAUGGAGACAUGGAUAUAUAGAUAUAAGAGACAUCAUAAAGGUUGCAACAUGAUCGUAUAUCCGAAAUAGCAUCCAAAAGCAUGUCAUCCAAAAAAAAAUCAACCAUAAUAACCAUGUUCAAAUUGUCCCAAAAAGGAAAAAAAUAUAUAUAUGAAACAAAAAGUAUUAAAUAGUUUACUAAAUGUUAUGCCCUAGAUACCUAAAGAUAUCUCCCCCUUAGGCAACAUCGAAACAAUGAGGGAACUAUAUGGCUCAAGGUUGAGGUGGUGGAAACAAGGAACAUAGGACAGCUAUUGAAGAAGCUAAAAUUCUUCAUAAAUGAUUGAAUUUUAUUUCACCAUGAGAAACAAUACAAAGAGGGAUUUUUUUUUUUUUUUUUUUUUUUUUAUCAAGGGGAAGACCCCUUUCUCUUUACUACUUAUCCCUUUUAAUAAAAAUUCUUCCACAUUUUUCCACUUUAUUUUGCCAACAUUCUUUCAACCCCUUUUGCACAAAAAUGCCAAAGAUAGUAUUAGGAUAACCUUUUACAACCAUUGCUAACUUUUGACACAAGUUGCUAAAAAUUGUUGAAGAUUUGCUUUUAAUGUCAGGUAGGAUAGCAGAUUGGUUCUAAUUGAAGGUCAUUUCUUGUGGAGGACCUUACUUAUAAGUGAGAUGAUUGUUCCUAUCUUCAUGGUUUUAUGUUGUAUAGUUAUAGAGACUUUUUAGAGGCUAUCAGCUUUAGAGCAAAUUUAUGUUGUUUGUUAGGGAUUAAGUAUUUUAUUCAAAUUGGGUGAAUGGUACUACCUCUUUACUUGAGAUGGCUUUGAGAUUGGGUGGUUGAAUAGUAGUACUUUGGAAUGGUCUAGUUUUUGUUCGCUUUAGCUAUCAUUUUCUUAUGCUGUGUCUAUAGACGAGUGGAGACGUCAUUUGGAAAUUGGUCAAAUUGCCCGUGAAAUUGAUCAAAUUGUCAAGUUGUCAUCCUAAAAUUGACUAAACCUAGUUUGUAAAAAUGAGAAACGACCGUCACUAGCGACUAACAUCUUCUCAAGCUAAGUAUUAAUAGAUCCAAUCUGAGCAUAAAGGGCAUCUUAAUGUUGCAGGUUCAAUGCUCAUGAAGCAUAAUAUUUUGGAUACUUGGUGUGAGACACCUCAGCAUAAGUCUAAUCCAUAAGGAUAGUCUCCUCAGGAGGUUGAGAUGUGGGCAAUUGAAUGGUGGCAUCCAUGCCCUUGGUUUGCAUCUCCUGUUGAACAUCCUCACCCCCUAAUCCUUUAUGGUCACCCUCAGUCUCUAUCUAUAGAAUCUCUGCCUCUUACUCAACCCGGUCUUCAUUCAUAGCAGGACCCUUUCUUUUUCUUUCCAAUGAUCCAUUAGGCAAUUUCUCAAACAGCAUUCGGUCUGGAUUUUACGUUAUAGGUAUCAUAGGAUGAGGCCUGAAUGUUUUUUUCUCUUCUUAUGUCCACAUUGAAUGCUUUCAGGAUUUUUGUGAUCAGUCUUCUUCCGUUGGCCACUACUUUAGAAUUGCUUUUACAACAGUUUUUCAUGUGUUGAAAGAUGAUAAGGAAACCUUAGAAUGGAUCGGAGUCAAUAGAAAAUGCUACAUAAUAGGACACCUUGUCUCUAUGUCCACCCUUAGGUAGAAAAAUAUGUUUGAUCAUGUGGUGGUGCACCCUAGAGAUAAUGCUCAAGGCAUGGGCAUGGAGCUUUGAAGUCACUGUGUCGAUGGGUAAGUUACAUAUCCUCUAGAAAGCCCUACCUAGGUUAAAACUAGACACUAUAGGCCAUCCCUUCGUCUCAAAUAAACAAAGUCCCCCACAAAGGAUCUCCAAAAUAUCACAAAGCAUAUCAAUAUUUAGUUUAAUUCAACUCCUCUAACAAAUGUGCUAAUUGGCCUUCAUAUAUUUUAGGUUCAAGUAAAAUACCUGAACAAGGUUGGGGUAUGUAGGCUCUCUUGAUGAGAUGGUAUUGGUGAGUAUUUUUUUUUCUUCAAUACAAAACUAUUACAACACUUGGUUUUUUUUUUUUCUAAAAAAAAAAGAAAAAUAAAAAUAGUUUUAUAUUAUACUUAGUUUCAAGAAAAAUAAUAAUCAAAGCAAAAUGAAAAAAAAAUUCUCAUAUUGGUUUCUCGUGAAAAAUAUAAAAGCAAAUAAAAUACAAUUAAAAUUAAUUAAAAUCUUAUGUAUUUUUAAAUUAUUAAUUUUUAUAUAAAAAAUGAAAAAUAGUAUAAUGAAUUUAGAAGAAUAUAUAAAAAUAAUGUAUUAACUUUAAAUCUUUUUUUCUUUAUAUAUAUAUUUUCCCUUCAAUUUUCUAAUACCAACACAUAAUAAGGUUAAUGUCUUCUAGCCAACCAAUUGUAAGUCAAUUUUCAUAGAGCUUUUUUUUUUUUUUUUUUUUACAUGCCACCAAGUAGUUAUAUAAGCAUUUUUGCAUGUUAUUGUUAUCCAACAUACAAUAACUAUAACAUCCAAUUAUUAUGAACAUGAACAAUAAAAUUAGAUGCAACUAACUAUUUAGUGUAUAACAAGAAGUUGGUGAAGUAAUUCAUCCUAACAUGAUUCAACAAUUUUUGUUUAUUUUUCAAGAUUAAUUAUAACAUACCCAUUCUAUUAAAGUUGUUGAGAUAUUUGAGCAAAACUAAAAAUCAACAUUAAUUCAUUUUAUACCCACAAGAGAAAUAAGAUUUGUUUUUUUGUUUGAUAAUAAAGUAGUUGUAGUUAUUAAUGAUAAUUUUGAUCCUAAUUUAAUAGGUAUCCAAAAAAAAAGGAAAAAUGCAAGUAAACCAAUUCUUAUCUAACACAAUUAUUACCACCUUAAAAUCCUGAGGGGUAGCUCAGUUGAUCAGUUCGAGUCCCUUUAGGACCAUGAAAAGCUUACCCGAUGGUUCACCUUAAGAAAAGCAAAGCAUUUAUAUAAUUCAACUGGUAGUUGAUAAGUCUUAGAAAGGGUUUUGCCAUCAUUGGCUUCUCAGUAAAGGGCAAAUUUGGGUUGUGGCUGACAAUUAUUGAAUUUGUGAAGAAAUAUGUGAAGAAAGGAAACAAAAAGAGUUGAGGACAGAAUUCUUCAAUUAAAAAAUGGUUAGCCCAUGAACCCAUUCUUCAAACAGUAAGCCAAUGAGCCAAUGAGCCAAAAAGAAAGAAGAACAGCUGGUUUCAUCUUUUUAUCUUAAUGACUUUGACAACCCAUCUUUCUUUUAAAUACUUGUGACUUUGGAAUAUAAUUAAAAUGAAACUUUGGAAUGCCCACAUCUGAUUCACGGCCUUUUUACCUGUUUUCUUGUUUAACAUUUUUUUAAAUAUUAUAACAGAUGGAAAAACAUGAUUCUAACAGGCUGGAAAAUAGUGGAAGUUGGAACACCAACCAUAACCAAACUAUACCUUCCAUCUUUCUCCAACACUCGGAAUUAUUGAUACAAGUUGGUGGUUUUAUGAUUGUUUCUAUUGAGGGGACCCCUCUCCAUUUCCAAUUUCAAUGGAAAGGUUCUUCUUUCCCUACUUUUUUUUUUUGUUUUUCAAAUUCUUGUAGUUUUGUCUGUCUCUCUCAACAAAGCAAACUGCAAUCACUAAUUCAAAGAAAAGGAAUCCUAAAUGAAAAGAAAAGAAAGGAAAGGAAUGGUAAUUUAGGCUAUGAUGAUGCUCCUAUAUAAUGGCUGUAAGUCAAUAACAACACACUGGACCCGCCUCCUAUCUCAAAAGAUCACAAACCCAAAUAUCAUAUACUUCCAAAUUUCAAUUUGGUUCCCUGUUUAUAUCACAAUCUGUCCUAUAUCCUCUUAAUACAUCUAAAAUCUCUCUAUAUCAUAAAAAUAAUGAUGGAAAAAAAAAUUAAAAAGAAAGAAGGAAAAAAUGACAAAAAAAAAAAAACCUUGGUGCUGCUAUGGGUCCAUAGGAAUUGGCAGGACUGCACUUCUGGAUCCCCUUCCAUGGCCAAAAGAAAAGAAUGAUCUUCGGAAUCUGCUGCUGCAACCUUCACUAGGGCUGAAGUCACUGACAGGCCUGUUCUGUUGCAAAAUCUCUUGAAUUGCUAAAUACAGCUGCCUGUCGUUGGAUGAGUCCAUUGAAAAAGACCUCCUGAUGGGUUGGAUUGAGAACUGAUCAUCUUUGCCUCUAGUGUCAAUGCACUCAUCACCCAUGCUUGCAACAUGAUGAAACUUCCUUGCCUUUUUAGGCACAAUUCUCUGCUCUAGCUUCCUAGGUGAUGGACUAAUUGAUGGCGCAGAUAACUCUCUGGAAUUCAGUCUUUCUGGUGGCCUAAGCAGUGAUGAAUCAGCAGAACUAUCAUUUCCCAAUUCAAUUACUACAAAAUCUUCAUCCCCUCCUAUGUAAUUAUUGGCGUAGGGGCUUGGAUCUUGGGGGGAAGAGCUAGGAGCAAUGAUUUGGUGAACAGGAAACCGGGGUGUGGUUGAAAUGCUUGUUCUGCAAAGUGGGCAAUUAGCAUUGCUUUGAAGCCACACGUCUAUGCAAUCUAUAUGAAAUAUGUGACUGCAGUUUGGUAUGAUUCUUAGCUUCUCUUCUUCUUGAAACUCAUUCAAGCAAACCGCACACUCGCAAUGGCUUCUUUCUCCAAACUCUCUGCCACCUCCUUUCCUGAACUGGAAUAUUGGGAUUGAUCUGAUGACUGACUCGUCCAGGCCUCGACUCUCGAUUGCUGGGGAGUACACCAUUAAAGGGUCUUCCGGGUGCCGACUCCUUGAGAAAGAAAAUCGUCUCAGCAGAUCAAUCCGGUGCCAAUUGAGGCAGCAUUUGAUUACAAAGAUGUAGUAGCUCACCAGCAAGAAAGCAGUGGCCAGGAUUCCUAUUACGGCAAUGGCUAUAAUGGGGAAACUGGUGUCCGAGGAAUGAGAGGGAGAAGGAAGCACUGAGCUCGCCUGGCUUUUGAUGGGAGAAAAGGCUUGUGAUCCAUGGAUGGAGGAGUCUGUGCUCACAAGAUCCAUGAGAGAGGCUAUGAAAAACAUUUAGAAAUGAGUCUAUUCGGAUCUUCAAUUCACAGAAACAUGCAAAUGCUAGAAUAAAAUCGACAGACACUCAGAUAUAGACCCUACAGUUGUAAUGCAGCAUACCAUAAAUGUGAUUGAGUGAGUGAGGCUGAAACAGCAAAUGGGUCACUUCAAGAUCUCAACAAGACAGAAAACCCAUGUUGAAUUCACCAGGAGAGUAUUGAAAAGGGAAAAAUUAAGGACAUAUAGCUGUAUUGAAAGUUGAAACAAAUGCAGAAACAUAGAGAAGAGAGAGAGAGGGAGAAAACCCAGGAGGGUUGAAUGAGAGCGCUGCUGGGGAAGACAUCAAAACGCUUCAAAUUCAAUGAGAAUCUGUUGGGGACCUCUUUAAGAGGACUGCACAAAGCCUGAGCGUAGGGUACGUGGUUGGUUGGUGAAUUUCUCGGCUUCCAAAAGAGAAAUUUGGUGAGAAAAUUUUCAAGUCUCUUGAUUAUAGUAACGUAGCGUUUAUUUUAAUUUUAUGUAACCGAAACUAAUGGGCUGGUUCAAAAAAAUAAAAAAUAAAAAAAGGAACUUUCUAGGAUAGGCCAGCAGUCCACCGUUGGUCAUGUGGUUUCUUUUGCAUGUCCACAUCUUCCAACUAGUGGAGGUCCCUGUCACAACAGUAAGAAAACACCCAAUUGAAUAAAAGUAUGAACUUUUGGCUCCCAAUAUUACUUAUGCCCUCAUUCAAUACCUCAAAUAAAGCAGAGAUUUUGUGUCCCAACUUUUAUGAUUUCAUUUCAUCUUACUUCAAAUGCUAAUGACAAAAGUCCAAGUAUAUUCUGUAAUCACCCACACCCCAAUAGUUUUGAAUCACACUUGAAAUAGUUCCCAUGCUUUCUUAAUAAUUUAGAUAAUUAUUUACAGAAAAAAAAAUUCAGAACAGGAUGAUAAUCAUUUUGUGAUAGCAUGGAAGAAACUUUACUAGCCACUUUGGCCCCAUGAAGUUGAGUACUUGAUGCCAAUUAAUGGCAGGGUGGAAAAUAGAGAAAAGGGAUCAUAGUCAAAUCUAGAGUACAAGGCAUUGAAUCUUUGUUAAUAAUUAACAAAUGGGUAAAGCAUGGGUCACAGGGUCUACAGUUUGGAUUGCAAAAACCUCAGGCUUCUAUAAAAAGCUCAUCCAUUAUCAAUCAUCAAUCUGAAAGCCAGAAAGUCCAAGGCACAUGCAACCCACGACAGGGGUAAGAUUUCUGCAUCAUGUCCCUGAGUUGCAUUCACAUCAUAUGUUUCCCUCCGGGCCGUUCCAAUUUGAAAUCUCAUGGAAAUCUUCAAGAGCAAGGCUACAGAGUUUAAGAUAAUACUAGGGGUGGGUCCUGAUGGGAAAAGAGGUAGUGUAGGAUAGUCAAUAAAGGGCAUGUGUCUCUGGUGUGAAGUCAAAUCCAGUGUACCAUCCUCAAUGGAAAAUUUAGAAAUAGAACCGACACUCUACAGACUGCCGUGUUGACAGAUUAGAGAAAGACAAACCCACUUACACUUGCCUCAAAACCCAGUCCUGCCAUUUCAAAGGCAAAAAAAAAGGGUUUCUUUUUAUAGUCAAAGGUUGAGGCCUGGCCUGGCCUAGCAAAGAAACUUCACCUACUCUUUUCUUAUUUUUCAAAUUAAGGCCAUUCAACUUUUCCUGUUUGCAGGCUUGCUGCCAUAUCUUACUCCAAAAAAGGUGAAAACCCAAAAGAAAAAGAGUGUUUGCUUCAAUGGAAAACUCAUGUUUAAUAAAUUCACCGCACGAGUUUUGUUCCAGCUUUUCCUAUGAAAGCUGUGAUGCGUUUGGUAUGAAGUUGAUUUUGUUCCUAAAAAUUUUGAUCUUGGCGUGGAAGGCAACUUUUUCCUUUUCCCCCUUUUUCUUUUUGAAAAGUUCGGCAUUAGUUACCAAAUGUCCUUUUACUUGCAUGUAGGACAGCGGAAGCAUUACACAUCGCAGCAAAAUCCCAUUUACCCGAAUUUUCCACUAACUCUUUUUAUUUUUUACCAUCAUUUUUUAAUAGAAGUGAUGCACUCUUCAAAUUACAUGAAGCUUUUAAGAAGGUAAUAACCCGUUUCAAAGCGAACUUAACCUACAGAGUAUGUUUUAAAAAUAUUUAGGUAUUUGAUAAAAUUUAAAAAAUAUUUUUUAAAAUCUUUAAAAUGAUUUGUAAUAUUGAAAAUUUAUUUAUACUUUUUUUAAUAAAAAAACAUUUUAUAGGUAAUUUUUCUAAAAUACUUUUAGAGAAAAUGUCUUCCCUUCACUAUAAAUAUUAUAUACUAUCAAAUACACUUUAAAAAUCUGUUUAACAAUAAUUUUAUAAAGUGUUUUUAAUUUUAAAAAUAUUUUUAAAAACAAAUUAAAUUUUUGAUAAAAUUUAAAAAAUCUUUUUAAAAAUUUUGAAAAAUAUCUCGUAAUAUUAAAAAAUAUAUAUAUUUAUAAUGUUUUUUAUAUAAAUACUCAAAAUUCAUUUAAUAGUGAUUUUAGGAAAUGUUUUUAAUAUUUCUAAUACUUGAAAAUUUUUUAUCAUUUAAGUAUUAAAAAUAUUAAAAACACUUUAUAAAAUCACUUUCAAAUGGACUCUUAAUGAUUUUACUAAAAACACUUUUCAUAGAAAACAUUUAUAAAAAAUAAUUAUGAAAUACACUCUAAAUUAAGUAAAAGUUGUUUUUAACAUUACCACUAUUUAUUAAUAGUGCAUUUGUUUAAAAUAUUUAUAUGAAAAAUUCAUUAGGGUGGGAUAUAAAUAUAGAAGUGUUUUUCUUUAUAUAUUUUUUAUAAUAAAAAAUGAUUUUUGAAAUUAUAAAAUUUGAAUUUAAGAAUCAUUUGAUAAUAAUUUUUGUUAAAGCACCUUUAAUACGUGGUGCUUCUAUUGAUAGCGCUUUCAUUUCUAUGAAUGGCUAUAAAUUAUAUUUGAAUAAAUUUUUUAUAAUGUAUUAUAUAAUAAAAAAAAAGUCAUUUUUAAAAAAAUUAUACAUUAAAUGAUUAUUCAAAUAGUAUUUCCUAAAUUUUAUUAAACAUUUUUUUCAAAAAAAAAAAAAAAGUUUUCAAAUACUAGAAAACGUUUUUAAUCUCUCACACGAUCACAUCCAAACAAGUCCUAAUGCUACUCCUAGAAACACUCCAAAACAAAAGUCUUCCUCUAUUAAUGUUCAUAAAAUCCACAUAUAUUCUUCCAUCGUUUUUUCAAAAUUCAAAAUCAUUUCUAAAACAUCAAAUCAUGUUCUUUGGAUUGGCUGACUUGUUUUUUGAAAAUAGAAGGCUCAUUAUUGACGUCCGUUGACUUCAUAACCCAGUCUUGAUCUCUUGAUGGAGGGCAUAAAUGUAAAUUGGACGAAACCCUAGGGUGCGCUAGAGUGUAGAGGAUGAAAGGUUGGAAAAAGGAUGAGGUGGGGGUGUAAUAAAGAGGAGGGUUGGGAGAAUGGGACAUGUGUAGGUGAAGCAUUAAAUUCAAGACUAUGCUUACCAACAACAUAUAAAUAAAUAAAUAAAUAAAUAUAGGAACAGCACAUGGGGUGAGUAGGAGACAUCAGAAGAUGUGAACAACCCCUUGUCAGUCCAAUUUGCGUCUUUUAUCUACUCUAUUAUCUAUAUCGAUUUUCGUAUUUAUUUAUUUAUUUAUUUAUUUUUACCAUUUGAUUUUGCAUGGAUGUCGAAGGGUUUAUUGGCUGCCACGUGUAGGGUUAUGGUCAAGAUCACGUGGGGUGCCUACAUGGGAGUCACGUGAGUGCAUGAGGCAGGCUUGAAUUGCAGGAGGAGCAGGAGCAGAGCAGUGGCUGUUGUCUUAAGACUUUGCUCUCUUGGUGGAACUGCAGCUUAAGCAGCAUCCACGUGUUGUCACGUGCAAUGCGAGCCAUCCACACCACCAGUUUCUUUUUAGUGAUUUUCUAAAGUCAGUUAAGGUUGCAGUCAAUACCUUCAAAUGUUGACAGAGUUAGGGAUCUUUGUUAAAUGGAUUUUAUUAAGAUAUUAGUAAGUUAAUUAAUUGAGGGUCAACAUAACAGAUGGGUCGGGUUGGGUUGAAUCUGAAUUUAAAACGAUUUAAUUUAUGUUUAAUCAAAUUUAACAUUUAACUCGAAGCACUCAACUUAAGUUUAAUUGAAUCUUAGUUUUCAAAACAUUAUUUAAAUUUGGGUCAUUUGGAUUAAAGUCAAAUGGGUUAGAUUAAUCGGGUUAUAUGGUUCAAAAUCCACUUACCUUAUUUUUUAUACAUUAAUAUUAAAAUUUAAAUAAAAAAUAUUAGAAGAAAUUUCAAACUUGGGAUUAGUUGAUUGUAGCCAUGCAUUUGGAUGUUGGUAUUCUUGUUUCUUGUCUUGUUUCCAAAUACCCUUUCAAAUCGCUUUGUUAUUCAAUAGCAUCCUCCCGAUCAUUUAAAAAUUUAAAGAGCAUUGGUAUGAUGGAGGAAUUCAGAAAUUUUAGUUGAAUAAGUAAAAUUUUUCUCUCAUAAAACCAAAUAGCCUCUAUAGCUCAGUGGUAGAGCGUCAGUCUUGUAAACUGAAGGUCUGUAGUUCGAUCCUGCAUGGAGGCAACUUUUUAUAUUUCAUGAUCCAUUAUGCUCUAGUGAUUUAGUUUUCAUUAUAAUUUUAGAUUAAAAAAUUACAUCAACAUUUGAUAAGUUGGUUAUGACUUUGAUAUAAGGAUGAAACUAUCAAUAAUAUAUAUAAAUAUUUUGACACAAAAUAUCUAAUAUAUUAAAAAAUUAAAAAAAAACUCUAAAAAACAUUAUAAAAUUAUAUAUAUAAUUUAUCAUAUUUAAUAAUAAUAUCUUCUACCCUAAUAAAAAAUAUAAAUUUUAUAAGCAUACAUUUAUUAUUACAUUGUAUUAUAUAUUAUUUUACAAGAAUAUUAUGAUAACAUGUCUAAUUUUAAAAUAUAUUUAAUAUUAAAAUUAUCAUCAAUUUUAAUUUAAAUGUAUUUAAUGAUAUCAAAUAAUAUAUAUAUAUAUAAUUUUUUAAUAUUUAUAUAUUUUUAUAUUUAAUAAAUAUAUAAAUUAUGUAAAAAAAAAAGACCUAUUAAGAAGAUUAUGUUUUUAUAUUUGGAUCAAAAUUAAGUUUUUCCGAUAAAAUAUAUGAAACUAUUGAUAAAUUAUUGAUUGAAACGUGAAAAAAAAAAUUCAAAAAAUAGAUGAGAUAUUAGUAAAAUAUCCGAAAAUAUUGAUUGAUGAAUAUAUCAUUUCAAAUUUUGCAUCAACAUCCACAUAUGUUGGAUAUAUUGGCCAAAUAUAUUUAAACCUUGUUUCCAUGAGAAGUCUUUCCUUCAACAAUUUCAAAAGGUUAAUGAGGUGGUUUCCAAGAGAUGUGUGUAGGGGUCUCCAACGGGCGGGCCGGGCCAGCGGGCUUUUUGAAAUAAGCCAAAAUGGCUUUCAAAAAAGGGAAGGGAGAGGAUUUAAACCCCUUCCUUCAUGCUUAAAUUUCAAGGUUCUAACCAAUUGAACUACAUUCCUUUAAUGUUUAUUAAUUGAGUUAGUUAUAUAUAUAUAUAAAAAUAAAGUAUAUUAUUUUUUAAAGGGGCGGGCCUACGGGCUGGGCCGGGCCGAAAGCGGGCCACGGGCCACGGGCUUUUUGGAGACCCUUGGAUGUGUGCAAUCACAUUUGGUAUUAUAGGUGACAAAGUUUGAUAAAUGAGUAAUUAUUAGGUUAACUUAUAAAAUCCGAAUUUGAUUUAAAUUGAUUCAUUUAAUAAUCCCAUUUAUUUACCCAAUUAAAACUUUAAAUUAUUUAACUUAUAUUUAAUUUAAUUAAAAUUUGUUUUUAAAUAAAUAGAUCAAUUAAAACAUAAACAUAUUUGAUUGAAACAUUAAUAAUAUAGAUUUAAAUAAGACCUAAUUCAACCUAACGAUCAAAUAGAAAUAUCUAAUUAUUAAAUAAAUUAAACAUGUUACUUGCUUAAUAAUUAUGUGACAUUUGAAUUUAUGCUUUUGAUAUAAUUAUUAUUUAUAUCAGGUUUAUAUAAUGAAAUAUCUAGACUUUGACACCAGUCAACAUUGUCCACCAAUACAGAUUGCAACUCUUAUAUGCUACAUCACAUCAUGUUGAAGGAAGAGGAUGACGUUCAUUGGCAGCAGAGCCUCCAAUCAUAAGGAGCUUGAGCAAAUUCAAUCUCAACACUGAAAUUCACUAGAAAAAAAGUUUAUUAUUGAUACUUCAUUUGUGUAAAAGCAUUAUAUUUCUUGCAUCAAUCGUAAAGCAUGACAUUCCAGUAGGUACGGAAGAGAAAAUUUGUUAUGAAUUGAAAAAUCUGUCAAGCUUAAUUUGGAGGGCCCAAAAUUGACACGUUUAAGAGCUCUAUCAUUAGCCCAAUGAUAAGAGUCCAUUUCUUGAGUUUCAAGGAAGGCCCAAGUUUAACUUAGAGGGCCCAAUCUUGGUACCUUCUAAAAGGUGCAAACUUUGGCCCAAUUAUAAAAGCUUAUCCUUGCUUCCUAAGCAUCAAUGAUAUAUUUGAUCGAAGUAUUCACAUAACUAUCACGAAAUGAAAUGAAAUGAAAAUGUAUAAGUAAAUGAUGAUUUUGAGUUAUUUACUGACAAUAAAGAAUUAGGUGGUGUUUGUUUUUUUUUUUUUGGCUUUUUACUAAAAGCAAUUUGUUUUCAGAAUUUAGGUUAUUUAUUUUUCUAUUUUUUCAUGACUUAUUAUAAACUUUUUACUAAAUAAGAAAAUCCAAAAUAUAUAGUUUUUUCUAAAUAGAAAAAAUAACAUAUUGGUUUUCUUUUUUUUUUACUUUUUAAUAUUUAAUAGAAAUAAAAUAUUAUAAAAACAAACAACCUAAUAUUUAACACUAUUAAGUAUUAAGGUUUUAUUUAGAAUUAAGUAAAAAAACAAACACUACCUUAAAAUGAAAAGUAUGUAUAAUGACCUUAUACAAAAAAAGUCUCAUUAUUUUCUUCCAAAGAACUCAUACUUUUGUUUUUCAACUAUUACUUUGUUUUUAUUUUUUAAAUAAUAUUUCAAGUUUUUUUUAAUAAUACCUUUCUCUUUAUUAGAUAAUUUUAAUGACUUUAAAAGUAUUUUAAUAUAUUAAUUUAUUAUAUAAUUUUAAUGAUUUAAAAAUAUUUAAAUGUUGAAAUAUUUAUUUUCAAGUCUAAUUUUAAUUAUUUAUUUUUUGAAGUAUUUAAAUAUAUAAUAAAUGUGGGAUUAUGUAAAUCUAGUUGUAAUUAUUUAUUUCAUUCUAUUCAUGUUUUUAGUUGAAUUUGCUCAAAAUUUACACCUCUUUAUUUAAAGAUCAUGGAUUAGUUAGGUGUCUUGAGAUUUUUUUUCUCUCAAGACACUACUUGUUACACUAGAAAAUAAUUUGUGGCUAUAUUUUUUAGGCAAAAAGAAUUAUAUGUUAAAACUUCCUUUAUUGACUAGUUUAUCAUAGGGUGUAGAGGAAAGUUUGUGAUGUCUUUUUAUGUCAACUUUGGGAGAAAAAUAUCACUUUAGCAUUUUCCUUAGAAAAUUUUCAUACAUAAUUGAUUUUGGAACUAUGGAGGAGCAUAAGUAGGGAUAGAUAAUUCGAUUUUGGAAAAAUUAUAAUAGCUUUUCAACUUGGUGUUAAUGAUAUAUUGUUUAUUUCUUAUUUUUUUUCCAUUUUAAUAUAUAAUUGGGGAUUUUAAACUUGUAGAACAAGGCUUUUUCAAUUGAAUUGACACGUACAUAUGAAAGUUCUCUUUGGUUGCUAAUCACAUUUUUUUUUCUUUUGCUUUUUGUUUUUAUCAUAAUGAAUAUUGAACUCGAAAUUCAGUUUUUAAAAUCUUAUGAUGUUUUAAAGUUUAUAAAUAUUAUUGAUUUUUAUAAAUGAUGUUAUUCAUAUCUUGGUAAAGACAAUAUUUUCAUAUCGGUCAAGAUGAUUAAUAACAUAUAAGUUCAUAAAGAAAAACCUAUUGAUUAAUGGAUAUUUAAUGAUUUUUAUUAGGAAUGUUUUUUAAUUAGUUUCAAUACUCAUCUUUUAGAGCAUACAUAUAGGGUUUUAGAUGCUACAUUGGUUUUCAGCUUGUGAUUUAAAUUAUUGAAGCAAAAAAUGAGGGUUUUGCUUUAUGGAACUAUCUAAAGGGAGGUGAAUUAGGCGGUCUUCCUUUUUAAAAUCCAAAAAUUAGAUUUUUAAUACUUAUAUUAGUUAUACAUGUGUUCAAUAAUUAAAACAAAGAACAAGUCCAUAAUUUACAUGUGAUGUGCAUGGAAAAACACCUACAAAUUCUCUCAAAUACUUUACAAAUGAAAAAAAAAUCAAGGAUCGAUCAAUCACAGAGCAACUUCACUAAAUAUGAAAACAUGACUAUACAAUUUUACUUGGAUGAGGUGCUACCUUCUCUUAAGGGUUUUUACACUAGCCAACAAUUACACUCACCUUCACUCUCACCAUGCACCUCUAUUGUGCUCCAUAGUAAACACUUUAAUGACUGUAGCAAGAUUGCGAUAAAUUACUGCGAUUAAUUUGAGAGUGUUGAUAAUGAACAAAAAAUAAUGAUAAUUAACUAGAGAGCAUAUGAUUUUGUAAAAACACCAAAAAGAGGCAUAGUUAUAAGUGAAAACUUUAAUGGAUUGGAUUGAAUAUAUAAUUGAAGUAUGAAUGAAAAAUUACCAAAACAAUGUUCAAAACCGUGCUAAUCAAAGCACAAUCACUUGAGUACUCUCAUGGGGCACUUGAAUGCUCCUUUUAAUCACCGUAAUGCUGAAAUUAAUAAUUUGUCUCAAAUUGUUUUUCCAAAACAUAAAGCAAAAUAUUAUAAAUUUAUAUAAUCAAACCCAAUUUCAUCUUAAAGCUAGCCUACUUAGUCUUAAUUCAUGUCCAAAAAUACUCAUACUUGUCAAAGAAUGAAUAUGGUAUAAACAAAUUCUUUAUUUUCAAUUAUAUUCAAUUAUUGAAAGAAUAAAUCGGUUUACAUACAUUUUGAACAAAGGUAUAUACACAUAGACUAAAUCAAGGAAAUGAGGAAAUCAAUCACAAUCAAAUCAAAAUCAAAUGAUAGGUUGAUAUCUAGGAGAAGGUUAAGUUAGAACCAACUCAUGUAUUCAAUAUUCCCCCUUAAGAUGGCAUAUGGAGAUCAUGAAUAUCAAACCUAGAAAGUAAGGGAUAUGAAAUAUCUAUACCAAGGGAUUUUAUGAAAUAUCAACCAAUUGUUGUUGUGAUUAAACAAAUUGAAUAAGAAUAAUUUCAUUUCGAAUCUUUUCAUAGAUCAAGUGACAAUCAAUUUCAACGUGUUUAUUCUGUUCAUGGAAAAUUAGAUUAAUAGCAAUGUAUAGAGUUGUAUUAUUGUCACAAUAUAGAUGCAUUGACCAAGGAUGAUGAACUCCAAAAUCUAUAAGUAAAUAUUGCAACCAAUGCAAGUAGUAAUCAUUAAAUAAUAUUUCACUUUUCUUCAUGAGUGUUAUAUCAUUGAUUGCUUUUUAGAUCUUCAAGAGAUUGAUAGGCCACCAAGUAAAAUACAAUACCCUAUAAUUGAACAUCAAGAUUAUGCACAAUAGGCAUGGAGGAAGGCAAAAGAAUUCCUUGACCUAGACGAUUUUUUAAAUAGUAUAACACUCAUGUACUUGUGAGAUAAUUGAGACUACAUUGGCUUGUCAAGAAUUUGAACAUAAUUAGCAAUAUUAAGCCCUAUCAUUAUGAGUCAAAGUAACUUCCCAAUCAAAUGCCUAUAAUAAGAAGCAUCCAACAAAGGUUCUCUAUCUAAUUUACUCAAUUCCAAAUUUUGUUUCCUAGGAGUUUUUAAAGUUACAUGUUCCAAGAAAACCAAAAUCUUUUAGUACUUCUAGAGCAUGUUUUCAAUAACUUAAAUAAAUCUCAUUCUUAAAAUAUGUCAUUUCAAUGAUGAUGAAGUACUUUAAUUUUCCAAUCUCUUAGUUAGUUUGAAAAUGCUAUAUAGGUUUUCCUUGACCACCUUAAUUCCUUUAAGAUCAUUCAUUGUAAUAAUUAUAUCAUAAAUGUAAACAAGAAUGAUUGUGAAAUAGUUAUUUGAGGCUUGAGCAAAUAAGAAGUAAUAUGUACGUCUUGGCUUGCUUGUAAACCAUAAACAUCAAUGUGAUAGAUAAUUUGGCAAACCAUCAACGUGAAGCUUGCUCAAGGCCAUAAAGGGAUUUUUUAACUUUGCAAAUCAUAUUUUUGGUUCUAGAUUUCCUACAAACUUGGUGGAAGCUGCAUGUAUACCUCUUUAUCUAAGUCUUCAUAAAGAAAAACAUCGUUGAUGUCAAGUUGGUGAAGAUGUCAAAUUCUAAUUAUACAAUAAUUAGGGGUGACAAUGUGUCUUAUCGUGUUGAGGUGAGAAAUAGUGAAAAUUUACUUAAUCCGACUAUGACCCGUUUGAUAAUCGUGUCAAAAUAACCUAACAUGAAUACAAUUAGUUUAUUUCAUGUAACAUGACCCUUUUAACAUGUUUAAUAAAUAUAUUAACUUGGAUUAUGUAUUAAUUGACAUGAAUAACUCAUUAACUUGAUUUCAACCCCUUAAACUCAUUAACACAAUUCCAACCCAAUAAACUCGUUAAUAUGAUUUAACUCAUUAAACUUGUUAAUAGGAUUAUAACCUCUUUAACCUAUUUAAAAUUUUAAAUUUAUAAAUAAUAAAAUACUUCUAGAAAGUUUAAUUUUUAAAAUUUGAACUAUAAUACAUGUAUGCACCAAUUUCAUGAAGUCCUGAAAAAUUAGCAAAAUUAUAGAAAAAUAAUAUAAACAAAAAUUUGUAUUAAAAUUAAUAAGUAUGGGCUACAAUAUUAGUCAUAGUACUGCUUAUUUCUGAAUGACUUUAUUAAAAAGCGAAGAAUACAUGUGUAGUUCUUAUGUGAUUUCUUAAACUUGUAAGGCGAUUUUAUAAAGUUUUUUUUUUCUUUGUGAAACCUCUUUUUCUAUGUGAAAUUGUUUUGCCGAUUUGAAAUCUUCAUUAAAGGAAGUUACUAUUAUUUAUAAUUGAAAUUAGAGAAUGAAAUGUGGAAUCCCCAUGAUUUAGUUGCUUAAUUCAAGGAAUUUGAUUAAUUGAUUUUGGUAACUUGUCUCAUAAAAUUUUCUAACAAGAAUAUUUAUUUUUAAUCUCUUUUAUUUCAAUUGGAAUAUUUGUUUCCUUUGUAAAUUUGUCAAUAGAAUAUUUAUUUAUUUAUUUAAUUCUCUUUUGACUACAAUGAGAAGAUUUGAUUUUGUUUGUAAGACUAAAUUUUAUAACCUUUCAAAUUUGGCCAAGUGACACCUUUUGAAUAUAUGUCACAUGUCAAAUGUGUGUGACUCAUUAGUUGUUGAACCUAAAUUUUCUUGAAUUAGAAAGCUAUACUUUUGAAGACUAAUUUAGUGAUAAUUUAAUUCAUUAAAUUUUUUUGGUGUCUACAGUAUAUUUAUAAUAUGAAAAGUAAAUUAAAAUUUUAAUUUUUUUACUUGUUUAUUAUUUUAUUUAUUAUUUAAUGAUAAAUAUUUUUAUUCUUUAUUGAAAUAUAUAAAAUUUUAAUUAAUAUUUUAAUUUUUUUAAUUUCUAUAUAUAAAAUAUAUAGAUUUAUAUGGUCUAAUUGAGUCAUUAAAAUAAAUAGGGUAAAUAACUCACACAUAAGUGAUGGAUCAUUCUAACAUGAUUAAAUUAACAAGUUAGAUGAAUUGAGUAGUCAAAUACAAACAUGAUUUGUUUAUUAAAUAAGUUAUAUGAAUUGAUACGAUUAUGACAUCAACUCAAUUAAACUUAACUCAAAUAAGCUUUGUCUUUUAUUUUAAGUUGUCUAGUUGUUCACACAAAUUUUCUCAAAAUAAAGAAAUUAUAUAUAAAAUUGUAAAUUUGAUUAUUUGAGGGGACCAUUUUCAAUACUCUUUUUUAAGUAAUCUGGUGUUUAAUUUUGAAUCAAAGGGGCUUUCAUUAACAAAUAAUAGACUGUAGUUUUCAUAUAAGAAGAAAUCUCAAGCCUUUUUUUCUUGAAGGAAUCUUUAAAUUUUCUUUGAUACUUUAAAAAAUCAAUCUUCUUUGAUUUUUUAAGAAAUCUUUGAAUUUUCUUAAAGUCUUCAAAAAAAAAAAAAAAAAAAAAACUGAGUUUAAGGAAUUUUUUUAAUAACUCUCCAAAUUUCUUUGAUAUUCCAAAGUGUCCUUUAGAAGGGGACAAAUCCUCUAUUUACAGGAUUGAGAGUUUUAUUUUAAUAUUAUCUCUUAAUUUUUAAGAAAUAACUCUCUUAUUUAUGAUAAUUACUAUUUAUUUUAUUUAUCAUAAUUAGUUGCCUAUGAUAAUUAUCAUAAUUAAUUUUUCUAGAGAUAAAUAAUUAUAUAUAUUUAAUUAAUCAUGAUAACUAUAAUAUUUAUUUAAUUUUUUAUUAAAUUAUUUUACAUAACAUAUCAAUAUAUAUUAUUAGUCAAUUAUUAACACCGAAAAUUAAUGAGUUGGCAUAAAAUUUAUCUCUCUAUAAUAGUAUCAAAGCGAGCCUUAAUAAUAACAUUGCUUAUAGUCAAUUUCACAUGCCAACUUUUUACUGGGCAUUGGCGAUUUCAAUUUUGAUAGUCCGGUUAGAAAAAGUAGGUAAAGAUUAUUUGAUGUGGUAGGUCAUUUCUUUCAUAAAGACGAUGGCGGUGAAUUCAUGAGACAGGUGAUAAAGGAGAGAUUCUUUCUUUUGGCUUUGGAAUUUUAAUGAGGUCCUCGAUCCUCAUCCAAAAUACACCUCUCCAAUUAUAAAAAUCUUAUUAAAAAAAAAAAGAUUUGACAUGUGCCUUUCGAACUGCUGGUUUUCUGUUCCAAAAAUGAGAAUGGUUUCAAGUGGAUGAAGGAAGGUGAAGAACCCUUGGUUUUGUUAAGCGAAAAGCCACAUGAUUAAAUAAACAUAAGGCGGCAAAGGCUGAAAAUUUAAAAUUAUACUAAGGAACCCACCCCACAGGGCGACUACACUUUUGGUGAAGCCACGAGAAUGAAAGAUAUCGAAGGUGACACCAAGACAUUAAGCAGCACCAAGGUUUCGAUAUAUUAUAAGAUGGGAUCUUAUGAAAGACGAUCUCUAAUCUCUCUCCAAUCUCUUCUUUAACCUUUUCUUACUUAAAUCCAUUUCCAUGGUAGGGCACAUGUCCAGCUGACCCUACCCCCUCACCUACCUAUACUGCUAUACCCUUUUGUAUAAUUUGAUAUGGAUUGGAAGCCACCCCAACAUCUUUCUAAUUGCUCGUAAAUGUUGAGGUGCCUUUCCAUUUUGAGGCUGCCCUAAUGUGUGGCUGAAGUACGUAGGAAAAAAAAAUUGUGAUACAUGCACUGACGAAUCAAAUCCCAAUGUCAAAUUAUUAGACUCACCUGGUUCUUAAAUUAUUGUGAAUGCCGCUGGCCAUGGAUAAAUGGAAUUAGUGCGUGGCUUAAUGAAAAUUUAUUUUGAAAGGGAUAUUAAUUUGAGAGAAUUUUGGCUGAUACUUGGAGUUGAACGUAAGCAUAUAUGACCUCAUUUCGGGUGUGAUAUUGUGCUUAUAACGAACCUUUCGUUCUUUCCAAUUCCAGUGGGUAUUAAAUAAUUAAAGAAUUCAUGGUUCGAAGGCGAAAGGUAGAAGACCAAAAAGGGAUUACAAAGCCAUCGGCUUGACCAUCCAGAUGCAAUGGAUACAAACUUUGGACUCUAUCGAAAGUUCUUUGGGCACGUGCCCAAGUGUCCUACCCAUAUGAUAAGUUACACGUGGCUAAUUGCGGACCGGUUGCUCGUGCUAAACAGGGUACUUUUUCUACGCAUAUAAGAUGUUUCACUAGUGGGGCUUCACCAUGCAAACUCAUGGAUGAAGACCCUGAGGCCAAGAUGAAGGAACAGAAAGAAGGCGGAGGAGAGGUUCGGUAUCGAGGCGUUCGGAGGCGGCCAUGGGGGAAGUUUGCUGCGGAGAUACGUGACUCGACUAGGCAUGGAGCGCGCGUCUGGCUCGGGACUUUCAAUUCUGCGGAGGAGGCUGCAAGAGCAUAUGACCGAGCUGCUUAUGCCAUGAGGGGUUCCUUGGCGAUUCUCAACUUCCCUAAUGAGUAUCAUACACCCGGCACGGCUAGCUCUUCAGCUUCAUCCUCAAUGCCCGAAGGUGAUCAGCAGGGAAAACAAGUCAUUGAAUUGGAGUACUUGGAUGAUAAGCUGCUAGAGGAUCUUCUCGACUCUGAAGACAAAAAGAACAAGAAAACCUGAAGUUUCUGCUGCCUCGAAUCCCCUGAAAUCUAGUGCUUCAUCGAAAAAAAAUCCCCUCGCUCCUGAUUAACAACAUUUUUAUUUUAGUCAAUGAAUGUGUUCUCGGAUCAUUAUAAGUAUUUCUGCCGAAGUCCAUUGAUUUUUGGAGACUGAAAAAUGUCAGAAAAAUUGGUGCGAACAGGUUUACUCCUUUCUAAAUUAUGCAAUUGAAGUAUUUGGAUUAGUGCGCAGUGUAAACAUCAAGGAAAGCAUGAUCCACUAUUUUAAGGAGCCUAAGUGCUUUCCCCUUUACUCUUUUAGGAUGUCUUUUCAGUGAAGAAAGUUGGGAGACCACCACUUACCCUUUUGAUUGGUAUAUAACUGCCAACUAAUAACUGGACUAACAUUUGGCCCGUCUGGCCCUACUUCUUUGACUUUGUUGUUAAUUUAUAACUUUAUGUGAAGUGGGGGCUGUUUGGGAAUGUGUGAAGCAAGGAUUUGAGCCGACUUCGCCUAAUCUGAUUCUCCAUAAGUGACUUCAUUUUAUCAUAUUGGUGUUUUUUUUCUUCUUCUUUUUAAAUGGCUGGGGAGGAGGGGAUUUGGGAGGGAUGCAAUGCCAUGGUUGCAUGCUGGAUUAUCCUUCCAAAUGAAACAUCCAUUUGGUUUCUAGUAACUAAUUGCAAACAAUUAAAGAGAAUAAAAUUUUAAGAUGAUUAAACAAUAAGUACCUAUGUCCAUGAAAAGGAGAGAAGUUCACUCAUGGGUGUUCAUGAAAGACAUCACAAAGAACCAUCAAUAUGAGAAGAAUCCUGAUACAAUUAACUUUCAUGCAUAAGAAAAGACGCUCAAAAAAGAAUAAUGCUUACAAGGAAAGAAUCUCACUACGAUCAACUGAAAAAAUAUUCCAAUUUAAUUGGAAAUCCUUACAUGGGAAGAAUAUCAAUAAAAUCAACUAAAAAAAUAUUUUAAUUUUAUAUCAAAAUAUUUGUGAUUUAACCCGUAUCAUUUCAUCAUGACUUCUUAUAAAUUUUGUUCCUUUUUAUCAACACCACCCCUUGAGUUGGAGCAUAAAUAUUUAUUAAGCUAACUUGAACAAGAUCUUGAGAAAUUUUGUCGCAGGAUUUGUUUGCACUUUUUUUUUUCAAAUAAAGUCAUAAUUAACUUUAAUAUGUUUAAUCAUUUCAUGAAAUACUAGAUUUUAAGCAAUGUUGAUAGCAUACUUAUGCCUGAAAGCUUUAUCCCAAAUCACAUGAGUACAUGAAGUGAUUGCAUCAUUAAUGGUAGUAUUAUUACUUUAUAUUCAACUUCUCCACUUGAUAGGAUGCAUGAAAGCAUUGUGCUUUCUUCUGUUUCAAGUAAUAAAGAUUAUCACCAAGAAAGGUGCAAUUAAUACCUAGUAACAGAGUACCUAGUGGUAGCAUGCACCUAUCCACUGAACUUGUACUCGACUCUAUGAGUGUACGUUACAUAGUCCUUUUUUCGAAGUCUAAAUGUCCCUUGAUAAAACCUUCUAAUAUUUGAGGUUUUGGUAACAUUCAUGUAUCAAUGAACAAAUUAAUUUACUAGCUAAACUUUAAAAUUAGGCAAUGUUUUUCAAUGGGUGAUCAAGAUCUUGGAAUUUUCAAUGUUGUUUGAAUAGCUUCCACACACAAGCAUAUUUUCUCCUAUUUAGGAAUAAUCCCUUUUUUGAAGGUGUGAUCUUUAUGCUCAAAAAAUAAAGAUACUCAAAAAUUUAAUAUUGACCUUCUCGUGAAGGAAAAGCUUUAUAACUAAUUUUUUUUGUGCAUUAUAUAUAUCCUCAAUAUAGACUUUAAAAAAAAAAGAAGUAACUCCCUCUACAAAGAGUGAAGAGUCAAUUAAACUUUUUUUUUUUUAAAAAAAAGGAACCAAUUACUCGUAAAAGUAAUGAUUAUUUUUACAUACCAAACUUGAGGAGAUUACUUAAGAUCACAAAAGUUUUUAUUAAAUUGCAAGCUAGAUGCAUUUGAAACGAUCGUUGAUGUCUUAGCAACACCUUAUGUAACUCAUCAAUCUUUAUGUAAAAAUGCAUUUUUAACACCCAUAUAAAAUAAUGAUCAAUCCUAAUUUAAUAGAAACAAAUGGUAAUACAUGAAUAUCAUUCAUAUUAAUGAGAAAAGUAAAUAUUGAUUUAUAAUCAACUUCUUAAGUUUGUGUCAAUGCCUUAAUCAUUAGUUUAACUUUGUCAUUCAAUGAUACCAUCAUUACGACAUUUAAUUAACUUAGAUUUGCGUAAAUCCCUUAAUCACUAGUCUAGCUUUAUGUCAUUCAAUGGUACCAUCAUUAUGGUAUUUAAUUGAUCUUAUACCCCCAAUUUGUAUACCCCAUGUUUUUCUUAAUUUACCAUACAUCACUUAACAAUGUUCCAUGCAUGGAUUUUGUUAAGUGCCUUAAGUUCCUUUUGCAUAGCCUUUCUCCAAAUUGGAUGAGGAUUGGCUUCAUUAAUGUCAUUAGACUCAUGAUAUAUGGAACUCAAACAAUUGUUAAGUGAUUUUGUAUAUAUAUAAAAAAAAAAUUGUAAUUAAUGUGGUAGGCAUAAAAAUCUCACAAAUGAGGAUUGAUUAAUUGUUAUAAUUGAGCAACAUGCUUGAGGCUUAGUCACAAUACUAGAACUUGAAGUCAGACAUUCUCUUCAAAUAAGGACGUAUAUACAUUAUAUUGGAUCUCCAUUAAACAAGUAAAGAACUAUUUAGUAGACAAUGAAACCUCAUUGAUCAAUGGUGGUAGAGAGACACAUGAUGACCAGACUAUUCCCCUGGAAAUGAGAAUAAAAAAUAUCAUUAGCCGCAAAAAUCUCAAAAAAAUUUAGAUAAUGGGAUAUAAAGAGUUUAUGAAUUUUACAAUCAUAACUCUUAUACUGGUUUAAGUGGUAGAGUAAUCAAGAACACAAAACGAGUUUGAUGAGUGGUUGAGAUAUGAACAAAGCAAAGAUUUCCAAAGACACCAAAAUCAGAAAUCUCAAUUUUUGGGCUAAGGAUUUCAAGAAGAAAUUUAAAAUUAACUACAUGACUAGAAAAUUUGUUCAUCAAGGAAAUAGAAGUAACGAUAUCAUAACAUCAUAAUUAAUCAAUAUUUUUAAUAACAUGCAUUUGGAACAUGAUAUACCGGCUUUCUAAUAAUCAAUGAUUUUUGGUUCAACCACACCAUUUUGUUUUGGGAUGCCAAUACAACAAGUUUAACGAANNNNNNNNNNNNNNNNNNNNNNNNNNNNNNNNNNNNNNNNNNNNNNNNNNNNNNNNNNNNNNNNNNNNNNNNNNNNNNNNNNNNNNNNNNNNNNNNNNNNAUGUAAGUGCCAAAUUAGGUAGUGUCGACAAUGAAAUGGAAAUUUUGGAAUAUAGAAACAACCUCAUUUUUAUGUUCUAAUAAGUAAACCUAUGUAGCAUAAGAAUAGUCAUUAAAAAAAAAGGUAACAAAAUGUUGAUUUCCAUCCUAUGGAUCAAUUAGGACACAACCCCAAGGUAAACUAAUUUGAAAGUUGCAACAAAAAUGGAAAGAGAUGAAAAAAUAAUAGAGGAAUUUAAGGUUGUUUCAAAAUUUCAAGACAUGCUAAGAAACACAUGAGAUUAUAGAUGAUUAGGUAACAACCUUGGUUAAGUAUAUUCAACAUAUAUAUCCCACGAGGAUAAAUAUCUUCACUAAACUUUUCCUAUUAUUCAAUCCCCUAAUACCAUACAAGUGAAAAAUUAAUGUCACGGUCAAAAAUUUUAAUAAGCUUCCAAAGAGAUAAUAAUUUUGGGGAAAAAAACAACCUAAGAAACCUAUGAAUUGAGAUAAUUUAGGAAAAAACUAAAUGUUCGUUAGCUCUAGAAGGGAAUUGAAGCUCAUCAUCAAUAAAGAUUGUUGCUAUCUCGAAUAAUAUCAAGUAAACCAUUAAGAUCGCUAUUAAUGGUAUGAUUAGCAGCACCAAUUAUCGACAAAAAAAUUAUUAAAAAUAUAAGAAAUGAGAGCUUUAAGAUUAUCUAAUUGAUUUGUAAACCUAGGUAAGUGAAUCAGUAUUACGUUUUGUUAAGGAAGCUUAGAUCCAAUUGGUAUCAUUCACCAAGUUAUUGGAUUAAAUUACACUAUCAAACUUUGGCUUUAAAUGAGAAUGAAGAAUCUAACCACAAUCCUUAUUGGGAUUAGAUAUGUUAUUGCAAUAAUGUUUACAAUCGGAUGAGUGCUAAUUUCUAUUGAAAUCAUGAAGCAAUCUCUGAUCAUUGGUCUUCUUUGUAGAAACAUGAGCAUUGAAUUUAAAAUUAAUAAUUGUUACUUGGGAUUCAACCUUCAUAAUCAUUGCCUGGGUUUCCUAAUCACUUUCAAGAAUUACUUAUAUAGUGAAGGCACUCGAAACUAAUCAAAUUUGUCCUCUUAUAAAGUUGUCAUAUUCAAGCUUCAGAAUAGCCAAUAAUUGAAAAACUUAUCAUACUCCGCAAUUUGUUGAAGAAUAUUUGGGUCUAUUGAAGGGGACAAUAUAGGGAAUAUUUGUCCCAUAUGCUCAAAAUGUUCAAUUAACAAAGUGUUCUGUAUGUUUAGGGAUUUGUUAGCUUUAAUUACACAAAACAUUAGCAGUUUUAGAGAAAAUUAAUUUUUUUUUGCAAUCUUAGGUUCCAUGAAAUUAAAAAGCCAAUAACAAGUCAAUAUGGCUUGAGACCCAGUCAUCAUAUUCAAAGUCAUCCAACUUAGAAGCAUUCAUUUUGCCACUAACAUGUGCUAAUUUCCAUUUUCUAUCUUUCAAGAGAAAAAGACUGCUCUUAACCAUGGCAAAUAAUUGAACCCAUUAAGAAGAUUGAGGAAAGUAUCAUAUGAGGGUUGUCAUUUUCCUCCAUGACAAAGAAAAAGCAACAGAGAAAAACUCAUAAUAUUAGAAAGAGAAUGAAAGAAAUUGAGUCAUAGAUACACACAGAAGAAUCCAAAAAUAAAGCAAUAAUACAACCACAAAUAUGAGAAGAAGCUCAAUUACAAAGAAAGGAACUCAAUACAAUCAACUAAAAAGCGUUCCGAAGUUCAUACGAAAAUAUUCAUAAUGUGAAGAUCAUUUCAUGAUUCCUACAAUUUCUUCCUUCUACCAGUCCACUCCAUACAAGGUUUGAUCAACAACUUCUUCAUUGAUUUUCUGGUCUCUCUCCGGUGUAUCAUAGAGCAUUUUUGACAUGUUUCUGCAAGAUACACUUGUUAACUUUAAGCGACAUAAGUGCAAAAAAAUAAGAUCAUGUUGUAUUGCCUGUGCUUCCACUCUGCCUUGUUUAGUACUAUUAUGGAGCAGUACUUCCAUAUAGAACCAGUGAUCUCCAGUUCAUUAUGUUGCCUUCUUUAAACUAACUUUAAUUAUCUAUACAUAUAAAACAAAGUGGUCCCAUCAAGGGGCUAAAUCAAGAAUCAAGUGGGGCGAACAGGAAACAGUGGCAUCAAUUUUUAAGUCCAUAAGCUUUAAUAAAAGGAAUAAAACCAAGGAUAUGAAUAUGUUAUUUUUUCAUUUGUUCAUGCACUGGAAGAUCUUUCCUCUUCAAGCAUUGAACCAGCAUCCUUCUGUGCAAGUUGCUGUCGGAACCUUCUAUAAUUGUCAGAAGUCUGUUUCUGAAAUAUACAGAUAAAACUUUUAGCAAGUCUUGACAUUGCUCAUCACUAGGACAUUGUACUAGGAUACCAAUUCAUCUAAUUAGGGUUAAGUUGGCAUCUCGUACACUAUUUUUUAUUUUUCCUUCAUCUUUUGUUCCCAUUUGCAGUGGAAGUGGCACUUAGAAUAUCUGAUCAUGAAGAAUUAGCUUUCGGUGAGAUGAUACUAGGUCAAUUGCCAUUAUCUUUUUGAGUUACUGUGCGAGCAAUCUUGAAAAUAUUUUGGGAUAAAUAGAAUUUGUGCUUAUCAUAAACAUGCUAAACAUCCAAAUCAAGUGCUUUUACUAUUGAUAUCAAAUCAGUAAUUGAUUUUAACCUUUAUGCUUAUCUUUCAGAUUCUCAAUUAUGUAUCUUGAAUAAUGAUAUUAAGCAGAAAUCAUGAAUUGAAUUGCUUUAAUUAACUGUGCCUUAUCAAGCUUGUCAGCAGUGCUAUUGCUACCGCGAAUCAAAUUCGCUGUGCUUCCCGCCUUCUCCAAAUAAGCCACAAGCCCAAUUAUAUCCGCCCUCCUCCCAUCUCCAAGGGAUCAAAAAAUAAAAUGACUUCAAUCAAUUUUCAAGUUUUCCAUCUUGAUCAGUAGACCACCCGGCAUGAAUGUUACCCUCAGUUUAGGAAUAGGAAUUCCUUUUACUAAUCAUUUGGCACUAAAAACUAUGACCCCUAGCAAUUCAUUCCCUCCAUUAGAUAUCUGGGGGCAUCUUGGCUCAGCCAAAAAUGAUAAGUCAUUGCAUUUCACAUUGCAUUCAUUUGUAUUAAUGAGCUAAUUUUUUUUCACAGAAUGUGAUGUGAAUCGAAUUACUUCCAACCAUGUGUCUCUAUAAGGGUUUAACAAAUGUAAUUUGCAUUGUCUGUACACUUUUUUUUCGGUUUCUUUUCUUUUUUAUGCAUGAUUCAUUAGUCCACGGAUCUUCUAUGCAAAGUGUGCAGGCCAAACACCUCCUUCAAUGCAUUAUUCUAGAAGUUAAGACUCAGUUUACUCCUUAAUUGAUCUGUUCCAUUUACUUCAAAUCAUUUGAUUACAUUAAAUGAAUCUUGAAAUUCAAAAAUGCAUCAAAGUUAAAAGACCUUCCAAUGCAUUAAGAAAUCAUCUGAUACAAAUAUAUGUGAACCUGCAACAACAAUAAUGUCAAAAUGGAAAACUUAGGUAGAAAAUAUUAGAACGGAAACUUACGACGAACUCAAUUUUUGGCGCCUUUCUUCUUCUCAUCUUCUGAUCCAAGAAGCUCUUCCAACACCGUGUCAUCCAAACACUCGAACUCAAUGACUUGCUUUUCUUGCCCAGAAGAGGAACCUCCCAUCUCUAAACUCCUACAAGGCCCAGAAGAUGACGAGGAAGACGAUGAGGAUGGUGAUGGUGGGGGGCGAUGGGAGCCCAUGAUUUCAGAAUAGUACUCAUUAGGAAAGUUAAGAAUGGCAAGAUGACCCCUUAAGUUAAAGGCCGCUCGAUCAUAGGCGCGAGCUGCAUCCUCCGCCCUGUCAAAUGUGCCUAGCCAUAGACGAGCACCUUGCCUAGACGGAUCCCUAAUCUCGGCUGCAAACUUCCCCCAUGGCCUCCUCCUCACCCCUCGGUAUCGAACUUCUUCCUUUUCCUUCCCUUCCUGCUCCUGCUUCUCAUUCCCUUUCGAAUGAUCUUCCAUGCUAAACGUGUCGAUUUGCUAGGCGCAAUUUUUUUGGUUUCAAAUGUGCUGGUUUACGAGAGGCAUGGAUGCUUAUGUAUAUAUAUGGUUGCCACAGUCAGGUCUGACGUCACCGCUCAAUGUAUGUUCCACAGCGUGGGUUGACGAGCUUUCUGAGGGGGUUUCCUCGAAUUCAAAGCAAGUAUAAAAAUUCGAUUCUCCGACCUUUCCAAUGAGGAUCGAACAGGCCUUUUAUUAGAACCGUAUGAUAACUCCACACUGUUUUCAAAUAGUCAAUGUGAUCUAGAUUCUUCGUUAAUUUUUUCCACCUGACUGAUUGUUUACAAUUUUAUUUUUCACCGUCCCAAAUUUAAACCAUUUACGCGAUUCCCUGGAUUGCAUUUUUCUUUAAUGUUGACUUUACGAGGCAAUAGGACCCCCCAGCAACCCCACUAGGGCGACUUCAUGGGAACCAGAUUACUUUUGGAUCCAGAUAUGGUCCAGAAGAAAUAAGACAAAUCAAUUAAUGUCCACUAAAGUUUUGAUGGAACCCUUAGUCCGUGUUUCCUGUGGAUGUAUGUAUUGUAUGCACCUCAAUUUUCACCAAUCCCUGCUACGAGUCCCUUUAAUUUUGACGUUAUAAAUGUUUUUCCUGACAUUAGCAGAGUGUUUUUCUGCCGUCUUUGAGGACCUUCCACGGCCCAUAAACUAAUAAGGAUCGUCCAGUGAAUUUAGUCUUCCCCAGUUAAUUAUCCUGCGAGGGAAACUUGGGCAGUAAGUUGCCUACAUGAGUGGCUCCCGCCUACAUGAGUCAAGGGACCAUACGUCAGGACGACAACCAGUGUGGUCACACCAAAGUGGGUUGCCUGGACUCCAGGGUGGUCGCUUCAAAGUUGUCAAAUGAAGGCUAGCUUGGCAAGUUUUGGAAAACAAUUAUUGAAAAACAUUUUUCAUGAAUAACAGUUUCUAUGAACAGAUUUUAAGAAAGUUUAUUUUGUGAUUUUUAGGAAUAUUUUUAAUUUAAAUUUUUAUAUUUUUAAUUUUUUAUUAAUUUAUUGAUUAUUUAAUAUUAGCUUAAUUAAUGGAUUUUUCUUGGUCCCAAAUUAUUAAUUUAUCAAGAUUUAAUCGCAUCCAUAAUUAGUCUAAUUUCUUUUGGAGUGAGUGUGACAAAGUGCAAAUUUCUAGAGUUUUAUUAAUGUUAUUCAAUGUCAUAAUUUAACUAAUUAUAUUAAUUAUUUAUUAAUCAAAAUAAAUCAUUCACUUGAAAUAUGAUAAUUUAAAUUAAAAGUUUCAAUUAUUUAUUAAUUAGCAAAGUAUGAACUUUUCUUCUUGUUUUAUUAUUGUUAUUCCAUGUAUAUAAUUUAAUUAACUGUUUCCAAUAUUAAUCAAUAAAAAUAGAAUAUAAGCAUGAGAAGAAUUAGUAAAAUUCAUUGAUUUGGAAUUAGAUAGCUAGAGGAAGAACUUCAUCAUCUUCCCAUUACUUAAAUUUGUAUAAAUUCUAAAUAUUUAAACCCCCCCCCCCCCCCCCCCCCCCAAAAAAAAAAAAAAUGGUAAAGAAAGACUCCCCAAGCUUUCUUGGUUGGUGUUACCCUAAAAUUUGUACAAUAAGAUGAACCAUUUGGCUUAAAGCUUGGUGCGAAACCCCUUAUCAAUUGAAAAUAUCAAUGAAGUUGUUGAAUGGUUUUAGAGGACUAUUCUUAUGCAGAGUGGCAUAAGAAGCGAGGAGAUGAAGAGCGGAGAGACGUUAACAUCGGAUGCUGCUACGAAGGUGGGAAUACGGUUAAUUAAUUAGAUUUUGUGAUGGCUUUGAGUUUGAAGGAGUUAGUUUAAUGGGUAUUAUUAGUGAACUGAUAAUUGGAUUUGAUGUAAAGAAGGUUGGUCCAUUGGAUUAGCAAUUGGUUUGGCCUUUUGGGGGCCCCAUUUCCAAAUGCAUUGCCUUUUACAAGCAUUCAACAUCGCUGGACGUAACCAGGCUUGGUUCACCUAAAAGUAUCGCAUGGAUUGAAUUGACUAAGUUUUCAUUGUAGACUAGCCUUGAUUUUCCCUUGACCUGCCCACCAAAUCCUGAUGCCCACGCGAGGGAAUACCUCAAUUUUCUAAUAAUUUAUGCAGUUUCUCUUCAAAGCUCGUGUGAUCACUUGGGUCGGUAAAAUAAUGCAUUCCUCUACUUUUUCUCCCUUCCUAGAUGCAUGUUAUACCAUUAAUUCAAAUGUGAACAUGGGCUUGGCUUUGAAACUUGGUUCAAGGCCCAACAUGUUGACCCACAAUUGAGGUGUAAUUGAAUUUGUACACUUUUCGACUUUGAUACCAUUUGUCAUUACCAUUGACAUUGGGUCAUUGUUGAUUUUGAGUCCACAACUUUUAAGGUUGUUAUUACAAUUUUAAAUUGCGCCCACCCAAUUUAUAUGCAUUAUCCCUUAUAAAUACCGAUAACCUCUCUUUCUUCGAUAAUAUAAAAUGUCACAUAUAUUAUAUAUCUCAAUGUUUUCUUUUACUUUUUUUUUUUUUAUCGAUCGACAUUCUCUCUCAGAUGAUAUGAGAUGUCACAUAUAUUAUAUGUUUCAAUGUUUCUUUUACUUUUUCUCUUUUUCCUCAUGAUUGACAUUGUCUUUCUCAAAUGAUAUGAGUUGUCACAUAUAUUUUAUGUCUCAAUGUUUUCUUUAACUUUUUUUCUCUCUUCUUUAAUGAUCGACGUUCCUUUUCUCAGAUGAUAUGAAAUGUCAUAUAUAUUAUAUGGCUUAAUGUUUUCUUUUACUUAUUCUUUCUUUAUUAAUAAUCGACAUUUUAAGCAAUAUGUGAAUAUAAAGCAUUAAAAUUAUCUCCAUCGUUUUUGGAUGUGGUAUAAAUACACAAUUCUUAUUUUUGUUUUAAAUAUUUCUAUUGCUAUCUAUUGAAAUUUUAUGCAUGAAGCUACCAAGUUAAUUAUACAUAUAUCUUAAGAUUUUUUUUUUUUUUUUUUAUAGGAUAUAUUGUCCAUGAAUAUUUUCUGCAAUGGUAUCUUGUUUGAUUACUAUAAGAAAUAAUAUAUAUAUAUAUAUAUAUAUAUAUAUAUAUAUAUAUAUAUAUAUAUAUAUAUAUUAUAUUUCAAUGUUUCAUAUUUGCUUAAAAUAAAAAUUAUAUUUUAUCACAAUAUUUGGUAUUAAAAAAAAUGAAAUCUCUCUCAUUUAUUAUUACAAAAAAAUUAUAAUUUAUAAUUUUCUAAAUAAGUUUUAUUUAUUUGCUAACUAUAUUCAUGAUUAAAAGAUUUAAAAUUUAUAAAUAAAAAAUAUUAUGUCAUGUCAUUAAAUAAAUAAAAAUAUAUGUAUAUAUUAAAAUUAUGUUUUAUUGUAGCUUUUAAUAUUUUUUUUUUUAUUCUUUUCUUUUUUGAACUACAAUUUUAAUUUUUUUUAAUCAAAAUUUUUUAAUUUACAAAACGAGUAACAUAAAACUUGCCUUUGAACUUUAUUGGAAUGUUAUAUACUACCAUUUGGCUUUCAAGACAUUAGAAAAGGCAUAAGUGUCCCUUUUAUUUUUCCGAAAGGCAUAUUAGACUAUAGUAGGAAGUGUUGUAUAGAGGCAACUAAAAGUUGCCUUUAACUUUAUGAAGUCAUAUACUCCUCUUUGGCUUUGAUGACAUCAACUAGCAAAUUGGAUUUUGUUUCCUUUGCAACAUUUUUCCAUCCAUUAGCCAGUUUUUUUAUACUGUUUGGUGCUUGCCAACAUGGCACACACUAUGGUUCUUAAAAAGUAUUUUUUUUUUUAAGAUACUACGAAAUAAAAUACACGAUUGAAAGAUGAGUCACAAUAAUUUUCAAAACUAAAUUUUUUAAUAUUGUUAAGAAAAUUUGACCACCAAAUGAUUGAUUUUAAAUUACAAAUACUUUUGUUAGCUAAGAAAUUUGUUGUUCUAUUUGUUUCCCUAUAAAUAUGACAACAAUCAUAAAUAUUUUCAUUUUAAGAUAAUUUUCAAAUAUCUUCCAUUAAUAAUAUAAUAGAAUUAGGAAUUUUUUUUUUAGUUAUAACAAUCUAUAAUUAUUUAAGAGUCUUCCUCAAUCUCUAGGUUUAAGAACUUAUUGUUCUUAACAACUAACAUGUCAUCUCUUAAAAUAAUACAUUCUGCAAUAAUUAUUGAAAUAUGAUAUAAUAUAUAUAUCUACUUACAACCAUUUUUGUAGUACCAUUAGAAUUUUUAAUUACCCAUUCUAAAGUAUUUUUAUUCUCUAUUCUUAAACCAUCAAAAUUUAAUUUAAAUCUUUCAUUAAUUGGAUAAAUCCAAUGAAUCUAACAAGUUAAAGGAUUAUGAAUCCGACAAAACAGUUGAUAAUAAAUUAAUAAUGCCAUUAAUAUGAUUUUAAUGUGAAACACAAUUAUCACAUUUAAUACAGUUAGUCCUUGUAUGAUUAAUGUUUUGGAAGCUAAAAUCAAUCUUUUGACUAUAAUAAGAGUUUCUACUAUUUCUAUUUUUGGAUGAUUUUAUAUUUUUCUUAUUGUUUUAGUUUAAUACAAAAAAUAAAAAUAAAAUUACAUUAGUAGAAUUUUUUUAACUUACUCAAAAACCUAUUUUAGUUGAAUGAUUUUUUUAAAAAAAAUAUAAAUAUUUUGUUAAAAGGGAUAAAAUAACCUUACCUUGUGAAAAAGACCUCUUCACCCAAGAUUACUUGUUCAUAAUCCUUUUAAGACGAAAAUGCCCCCUUCCUAAAAAAUAUUUCAUCUUAAACUUAUUUUUCUUUUUAUUGCCCUUUGUUCCAUCCUUCCGGCUUGGGAGAGAAAUUCAUUCUUCUUUUGCGAAGAAAAAUUCCUAUUGCGAUUUUUCAUUUCAAGUGGAAAAAAAAAUUCUUAUUUCAUUUUAAAGAAAUUGUACAUUUUCAAUCUUUCUCUUUGUUCCUAGUUGAGGGUUUUUUUUGUAAUUUUAUCUUAACACUACAAAUUUAAAGGUGAGAUUAAAUCUUAAUGGUUAUUAGUUAAAUCACAUAUCUAACUUUGUUUUUGUCAGGACCUAUAAUAUGAUUGGAACCACCAUCCAAACUUCAUUAGGUGGGAUACUCCCCACCCUCCCCCUCCCCCCGCGAAAUCCUUGGAUUUUAGUUUUGACUUGGAUUUCAAUUGCCCGUAUCAAUUUUUCUUUAUUUAUUAAUUUAUUAAUUUUCAACUUUAACAAAAGCCUUGAAUCAUAUUUAAAUUCAAAUAACUUAAUCCUAAUUAAGUUCUUUUUAAAUAAAAAUUAAUCAUUGAAAAGUUCAUGUGACUAUUAUAAUUGAGAAUUUAUCCCAAGUUGGGUUUUUUGCAAAUAAAAUUUUAUUAUAGGACAUCAUGAUGCAACAUAACAUAAGGUUGUUACUUAAGUUUGUUUUGACCUUGUAAUAUGUUAAAAUGAAAAUGAAGCCAUUGUAACAGGAGAGAAUGAUGAAGCUGUGGAGAGAGCUUAACAAAGCUUGGGUUGGAGAGACUUCACAGGAAGAGAGAGAGAGAAAUAAAGGGUAAAAUUAUCAAAAGAGAAAAGAAAAAAAAAAAAAAAAAAGAAGGUUAUGUCUUCAAAUAAUCAAUAAGAGAUGUCAUUUUUCUAAUUUUCAAAGUUCUUUUGGUCCUUCUCUACAAAUAUCCCUAUAAAAAUAUUAUAAUAUCAAGUUAAUUUGUCAAUACCAAAAUUUAUAUUUUAUAUUAGGGCGACUAAAUAACAUAUAGAAAGAAUUUUAAAUGAGUAAAUCAAAUCAAUUUUGAAACCAAAACUUAAUAAUUACCAAACUUGUAAUCUUAGUCAUUAAAAGUGUACGAUGAAAUCUAAAUUAUUAAGCAAUGAAACAAAAAAUUAAGAUUAAAAUACAAAACGUUAAAAUCAAGAUACAAACUAUUAAAAUGUAAGUGGGAUAUGAGAUGAUAUUAUAAAAAAUAGUGUGAUCCAACAAAAAGUCUAGUACAUCAUUAUCUUCACUUCCAACCAUGUUUAAAAGGUCACAAGUUCUAGCGGUUUCCAAGGACAAUGUUAAAAAUAAUAAAAAUAAAUCCAAUUAAAUAUUAAUUAAUUUAUUUGAAUUUGAGUCCGACAAAAUAGUUGGUAAUAAGUUAAUAAUGCCAUUAAUAUGAUUUUAAUGUGAAACACAAUUAUCACAUUUAAUACCCGUUAGUCCUUGUAUGAUUAACUUUUUAGAAAUUAAUAUCAAUCUUUUGAUUAUAAUAAGAGUUUCUACUAUUUAUAUUUUUGGAUGAUUUUAUAUUUUUCUUAUUGUUUUAGUUUAAUACAAAAAAAUAAAAAUAAAAUUACAUUAGUAGAAUUUUUUUUAACUUAUUCAAAAAACCUAUUGUAAGGUGAAUGGUUUUUUUAUUUUUUUUUUAAAUAUAAAUAUUUUCUUAAAAGGGAUAAAAUAACCUUACCUUGUGAAAAAAGGCCUCUUCACCCAAAUUUACUUGUGCAUAAUCCUUUUCAGACGAAAAUGCCCCCUUCCUAAAAAAUAUUUCAUCUUAAACUUAUUUUUCAUUUUUAUAACCCUUUGUUCCAUCCUUAUGAUUUGGGAGAGGAAGUCAUUCUUCUCUUGUGAAGAAAAAAUUCCUACUGCCAUUUUUCAUUUCAAGUGAAGAAAAAUAUUUAUAUUUCAUUUUAAACAAAUUGUACAUUUUCAAUCUCUCUUUGUUCCUAGUUGAGGUUUUUUUUUUUUUUUUUUUUUUUUGUAAUUUUAUCUUAAUUGUACAAAUUCGAAGAUGAGAUUAAAUCUAUAAUGGUUAUUGGUUAAAUCACUUAUCUAACUUUGUUCUUGACAGAUCGUAUAAUAUGAUUGGAACCACCAUCCUAACUUUAUUAGGUGGGAUCCCUUUUUUUUUUUCCCCAAACCCUUGGAUUUUAGUUUUGACUUAUAUUUCAAUUGUCUGUAUCACUUUUUCUUUAUUUAUUAAUUUUCAACAAGUUCUUUAACAAAAGCCUUGAAUCAUAUUUAAAUUCAAAUAACUUAAUCCCCAUUAAGUUCUUUUUAAAUGAAACUUAAUCAUGUGAAAGUUCAUGUGACUAUUAUAAUUGAGAAUUUAUUCUUAGUUGGGUUUUUUGUAAAUAAAAUUUAGUUAUAGGACUGUGAUGAUCCGUUCUCAACCGUAUAAAUAUUGUUCGUUUUGAAUUCAAAAUAACUUUUACGGCUUUAAAACAUGUUUACAAGAUUAAGAGGAGUCCAUAUUUAUAUAGCUUCACGAACUUUCCCCCCUAUUCGAUGUGGGAUGUCACAAGGACAUCAUGAUGCAACGUAUAACAUAAGAUUGUUUCUUAAGUUUGUCUAACCUUGUAAUGUGUUAAAAUGAAGAUGAAGCCAUUAUAACAGAAGAGAAUGAUGAAGUUGUAGAGAGAGCUUAACAAAGCUUGGGUUGGAGAGACUUCAUAGGAAGAGAGAGAGAGAGAGAGAGAGAAAUAAAGGGUAAAAUUAUCAAAAAAGAAAAAAGAAAAAAAAGAGGGUGAUGUCUCCAAAUAAUCAAUAAGAGAUGUCAUUUUUCUAAUUUCAAAGUUCUUCUGGCCCUUCUCUACAAAUAUCCCUAUAAAAACAUUAUAAUAUCAAGUUAAUUUGUUGAUACCAAAAUUUAUAUAUUAUAUUAGGAUGACUAAAUAACAUAUAGAAAGAAUUUUAAAUGAGUAAAUCAAAUCAAUUUUGAAAUCAAAACUUAAUACCUACCAAACUUGUAAUCUUAGUCAUUUAAAGUGUUCCAUGAAAUCUAAAUUAUUAAGCAGUGAAACAAAAAAUAUAAGAUUAAAAUACAAAACGUUGAAAUCAAGAUUCAAACUAUUAAAACGUAAGUGGAGACGUAAGAUGAUGUCAUAAAAAAUAGUGGGAUCCAACAAAAAGUCUAUUAAUCAUUAUCUUCACUUCCAAUCAUGUUUAAAAGGUCACAAGUUCUAGCGGCUUUCAAGGACGAUGUUAAAAAUAAUAAAAAUAAAUCCAAUUAAAUAUUAAUUAAUUUAUUUGAACAAUAGAUAGGACCAAAAUAAUAUUCUAAAAGGAAUCAUAGGGAAGUCCUUGGACAACCUACGACAUUGAACAAAGGUACAGUGAGACAAUGCACUUAGCCCUUCCUUGUCAUUGCGAUGAAUAUAAAAAGACACCCUGAUUGAGGGUGCCCCACUAAGCCAAGAGUGAUUCUUUUGUAUUGUAUAACGUGAAUAUUUUUGAACUUUGAAUGACCCUUCCUAUAGUCAUCAUUGUCAAAACUAGAAAAUCAGAAAGAUGCGAUGUACGAAGGCACCAUUGAAUAAGAGGCUUAAUUCUCUUUGGCAAUUAGGAUAAAGUUUCAAAAUAGAAAAAUUAAACAAAUGUACAGUGUACGGACACUUGGGCAUUGCCUAUUUGUUUUGUUCUUCUAGAGUUGUAUAUGGUAAAGGUCAUAUUGGGUUGGUUCUAUUUGGUUAUUGAAGUCGGCUAGAAUAUUAGAUUUGGUUUCAAUCUAAUCCCAUAUGAUAUUAGAAUACCAGCCCAUACAGAAUUUUUGACCAAAUAUAAUAUUUCUUUUAAAUAUAAAUAUAGUAAUUAAUUUUAGUCUAAGAUUAAUUAUGUAGUUUCCUAAAGAGACCACUUCCUAAACGGUAGCUAUGUGGAAGUUGGGCCAGGUCCUGCCGAGAAGGUUUCCACGAGCUGAGCCCAAAACUGAGUAGCUGUGAUGGGAUCAUUCUAGCAUUCAGCCUGAAACUUGUAACAUAACGGAUCGAGAGGCCUGAACUCCAAGACCAUGGUUCGUCAGCCCAUUAACUUCAACAGCACGCAUUUUAGAGGACUGGGCUUGCAAGGGGUGAGGUUUCCGGGCCGCGACCCCAAAUAUGAACAGCCUCAGAAGUGAUAUUGCUUACUGGCACGUGAAGAGCGCAAGCGUAACUAGAAGAUUUGUAAUGCCGCUUUAAUUGUUUGAUUAUAGAAUCCCACGCAUUACGCAUGGAAAGUGUAAAAGAUAAAAGAUGUAGAAUUUUUUCUUAGAGAAAAGUUCGUUUGGAUAUAGUUAUUGUUUUUUUUUUAAAUAAUAAUUGUUUUUUUUAUAAAUUAUAGAUAAUCUUAGAAAUUUAUCUUUAAAAAAAUAGUUUUUAAAAAUAUUUAAGGAGAAUAAAAGUGAUAAAAAAAAACUUUACAAUUUCAAAUUUUUAAAAAAUGAAAAUUAUUUUUAAGAAUAUAAGUUAAUCUCCUGCAUUUAAAUCUUAGGUGGUUUUUGUUUUUUUUACUUUUCGCUGAAAACAAUUUGUUUUCAAAAUUUAGGUCAUUUGUUUUUUCUAUUUUUUCAUGAUUUAUUAUAAAUUUUUUACUAAAUAAAAAAAAUCAAAAUAUGUAACUUUUUCUAAAUAAAAAAAAUAACGUAUUGAUUUUUCUUUACUUUUUAAUACUUAAUAGAUAUAAAAUACUACAAAAACAAAAAAUCUAAUAUUUAACACUAUUAAGCAUUAAAGUUCUAUUUAGAAUUAAGUAAAAAAACAAACACCACCUUAUAUUUUAUAUAAAAGUUACUUAUAUUUUGGUUUUUGGAAAUAAAAAAUAUAAAGCAUAUCCAAACAUGAGCUUAGCUAUUUUAAAUCAUAUCAAAAUAAUAAUCCCAAUAAGGUAAAUGGACUUUUAUACGGAGAAUAAUCUUUAAGGUUUUCAUUUUUAUUGGAUUUUUUUUUUGUGGUGUUUUUUCAAUCCAUCUUCUCAAUUAAUUCCUUAAAAUUAUUUUACUGUUUUUUUUUUUUUCAGUUUCUAAAUAUUUGAUUUUUCCAAAAUGCUUAAAUGGAAGACACUAAUUUUUCAAGAUAUUUGGUAUUACAAUUUUCCCUGUUCUCCCUAUUAUCUAUCAGAUUCAUGGCCCUUUUGUUUUUUCAUUGGUUUUCAAUUUAAUUUUCCAAAUAUUACAUUGUUGUGUUUUGAAUUUGUGAAACCAAUUUUAUAUAUAUAUAUAGUAUGUAAGUCUACUUUGGGUAACAUGUACAGAGAGGUUUUCAUGUGUUUGAAACCUUUUACCUCAAAAAUUAAUUAUUUUUAAUUUUAUAAUAAAUCUUUUUUUAUUUUUUAUUUUAUUUAGGAAAGCCUAUAUUUAAACUACAUGUUUGCAACGCAACACCAUACAUACUCCUAGUGGAACUUACCUUAGUGCUUGAGGGGGAUGCAGAUCUUCUUCUAAACCUAACUAAUAAGCAUAAAAUUGUUCACUAAUUAGCAUAUCUAGUAAAUCAUACAAAUUGGCAAUAUUUCAUGUUUUUCAUGUUUUGUCAAUAAAAGGCGUCUUGACCAUUUUGUGAGUUUUGUAAUAAAUAAAAAAAAAAAAAAAAAAAGGGCAAAAGGUGACUAAAAUGAGGCACUUUGGAAAGGUUAAUAACCUAAAAGGAAGAUGAAUUAAUACCCCCUUAUUCCUCUUCAAAAACCAUUGAGAAAAUGCAAGAAAUGCUCUUAGUUGUAUGCUAGGCUAACAGCCUAGCAACCAUAAUACCCUUCUUUGCAAUUGUAAGCAUUUUUUUUUUUUUUUUGAAGGCCAAACAACGUUGCAAACUUCCCAAAUCCCUUCUUUAUUUUUUAUUUUUUUAUUUUUGUUUUUAGAAGGAGAAUGAAUUUGAUGACAAACUCCUUGUCAAUCUUAUCCAAACCACGAUCGAACAGAACUCCUUGUCAAUCUUAUCCAAACCGUGUUCCACCUCAAAAACAUGUGUAGGACUUAAGGCAGCAACUGGCAAGCAUGACUGAUAGGGCCAAGUGCCCUUGUCUCUACAAUCCAUUAAGUUAACCAAGGGCAGUGAACCAUCAUUCUUUUCAAAAGCUUCAUUCCGUGUUGAAAAUGUGAGACUGAAGCAUGGUGCCCCCAAAAAUAACGAUCUAUUUACUAGCAGCAUGCCUGGACCCAUUAAAAAUACUCUACUUUAGGAAUAGAAAAAAUUACAUCUUUAUCCAAUAAUUUUAUAACAAUUCAGACGUUUCAGUCUAUAAAUAAUUGUACAUAGUUGCCAACGUUUAGCUAGUUUCAAAUGAAUAGCCUAGGUUCAUGCACCAGUUUGGCUGGUGGAGGAAAGGGAUUCGAGACAUUGAACCCUCUUUUUAGUGUGCCAAAUAUUCCACAAAAAUCACUACCUUCUCUUUGUGUUUGUUCACUUUUAGUUUAUAUUUAAUAAAUCUAUGUUUUCGAGUAGAGGUUGGGUUCAGGUGCGACCCACGUCACCUCUCGGACGGUCUUGAAAAAGGAGACCGGACCACGUAAUUUCAAAUGUAGUGACCAUCUCACUUUUACCUCCAUCCUUGAAGAUGGUUUCCCAAAUCAAUAUUAAUCUUUUGUUUACGACAAUAUCGAUCACUUUAUGUCUAUAUCGUUGUUAAUUUACCUUUUUUUUUUAGCCACAUUAUUUGAAAAUUGAUGCAAACUUUACCAACAUCUUGGUACCAUUUUAAAAUAUUAGAGUUAUUUGAUUAAAAAAAUAAAAUAAUCUCGAUAACUUGUUUAUAAAAUAAAUAUCUUUUAACAUUUAGACUAUUCUCACGCAUGCUUUAAAAUUGUAAAGAUAUUCAUAAAGUGGAACUUUAGACUUAAUCAAUAUCGAUCACUUUAUGUCUCUAUUGUUGUUAUAUUUUUUUUUUACAACAUUAUUUGAAAAUUGAUGCAAACUUUACCAACAUCCUAAUACCAUUUUAAAAUAUUAGAGUUAUUUGAUUAAAAAAAUAAAAUAAUCCCGACAACUUGUUUAUAAAAUAAAUAUCUUUUAAUAUUUAGACUAUUUUCACCAUGCUUUAAAAUCAUAAAGAUAUUUAUAUUCAUAAAGUGGAACUUUAGACUUAAACAUGAUAAUAGUUUUUUUACAAUAUUAUAAUUAUUUUAUCGUUUUAAUUAAGCCCUUUAUCAUACAUAUAAAUGUAAAUUAAUGCUAAAUUUUUAAAGCAACGUAUAACCUUUUACAUCUUUUUUUAAGAUGGUGCGAAAAUCCUAUGAAAAAUAAUAAAAGUCGAUGCAUAAGAAGAUUGUUUUGAUAAUUCAAUAGAAAAAUUCUUUUAAAAUGAUAUUAAAAAAUACCCAUAGAGCCUUUAUUAAAAAAAUCAAUUAUUUUCAUAAUAAAAAUUAUAAUUUUUUAUUAUGUAUUAUUAUUUUUAAGUAUCUUUAUUACAAAUACUUUUUUUGAGUUUAUGAGAGGAAUCAACAGGUUGGUACAAGCUUAGGCGUCCUCGUACAUGUUCCCGCUGUGCAAGGUUUUUGUCUUGUUUCGAGCUAGUCGGAAUUUACGUGUUUGAUAACGUUUUGUCCUAUUUUUGUAACGCUUUAAAGGGCGGCCCACCGUUGGAACAGUUCAAGCCAUCCAAAUCAGCCCGGAGGGUUAUGGCGACGUGGCAUGACGCCUACCACCUUAGUUCACAUGAACCCUAUGAUCGUACUACCCUCACAUGACAUCUGUGAUUCUUCACCUCCAAACCCUCUUUAACUUGGUAAUGUAUUCAAAGCUUCAUCAAAUCAUAGCGAUUAGCGACCCUCUUCCACCCUAAUUUUAUAAUAAAAAAUAAAUCUUAGUGGACAUUAAAGUAGUAUUUUGUGGGGGGAAAGAAAAACUCUAUGGGCGUAUCCACUAAAUACGAGCCAAGUAUAAGAGUUAUCACCAUGGAAUCAAAUUAUGAAGCAUUGACAUUUUAAUUGUAUUCAGAUUUGAGGAGGGCACCGCGGCACCAGCUGGCCCAGUGUAGUCUGCUAGCCUACCCGCCAUAAUGACCAAAUUAAUAAAGUAAAAAGGAUUACAGGGAUAUUCCCAACUUUAUUCUGGGUCUGAGCUGGAACUUGGGAGUUAUCACGAUCAACGGGAAAGAUGGUGGGUAGGGGACGAGGAUUGAGGGCUCCAUAUUCACAUCAGUGAAAAACGAAAUGUAUUGAGACAAGUCUUCUAAGGAUUUUCUAGCGUAUUAUAUGGUUUAAAUGAUUAUAAAUCUGUAGUUACUGGUAAAGAGUAGAGAGUGAAGACGAAAGACGUUGAGUGAAAAGGAAGGAGGAGAGGGGAUGGGGCCAUCUUACCGUGUCGGGGAGGAUCCAUAAAAGGACUACGUUCCCUGAAUCUGUAGGCAUCAUGCCUCGCCUAACGGGUUAGUCAAAAUACAGUGAUGUGUGUGAGUUGGGGGCCUCACUCCUCAUUUCUUUCCUUCUUUUCACCCCCACCCCCACUUUUUUUUUUUUUUUUUCGAAUUUUUCUUUGUCCUUUUCUCUCACUUGCGCACGCGGGAGAAGGACCACAAACUAGACAAUUCCUCUGCUCACGUGACCCCGAGUUUUUAAAUAUUUGCCUAUUUGGAAAAUAGUCAUGAAUCAUGAUCGUUAACAAACAAUCUUCACUUUAUUUAUUUAAGAUCUAUUUUUUGGAGCUCUAGUUUAGUUUAUUAUUAUUAUUAUUAUUAUUAUUAUUAUUAUUAUUAUUAUUUAGUAACUCCUCUUAUAUUAAUGAAAAAGAGAGGAGGAAUCCAAACUUGUUUAUUCUUCCUCUUUUAAGGUGUUUGUUUUUUUUAUUUUAUUUUUAUGCUUCAUAUGUCUUCAAUUUCUUAGCAUUUGUCUUAUAUUUCUUCUUAUCCGAUUCAUUAUUGCAUCCUUGGUCAAUCUUUCACGAGGAGUGCCUACUUUUUUCCUUUUUAUUAUUUAAUUCACUUUAUCUUUAUAUUUUCCUUUUACACUUUAUUUCCAAUUCAAAACGUGUCAAAAAAAAAAAUUGGUAACAAAAAAAAAAAAAAAAAUCAAUUGUAAUGAUUCUUAUAUAAUUUUAUUUAAUUUUUAUUAAACAAUAAAGAAAUUAAAAAUAUAUAAAUUUUUAAAUAAUUAUUAUAGUCUUUCAUUUUUGUGUAUAAUUUCUUUUGCAAGAAAUAGUGUAGGCUUUCCACGGUCUAAAGGAAAUGGAAUAUCAAAUGAGAAGGUAAUAAUAAUAAAGUGAGUUAUAGAUACUAAUCAAACUAAUCCACUAAUGAAUUAUUUAUUUUUAUUUCACAUGGACAAAUCCUAAAAGUUGGAGUUCUAAUUUACUUUUAUGUUAAGCUUUUUUAAGUAAAAAUCUUUUAUUAUUAUAAUUUAUAGACAAAAAGAAACCCAUUAAUGUGAUGGAUAAAAAAUUUCAAUUUAAAAAAAAAAAAAUUAAAGUUGCUAAAUUUUUGUAUUUAUUAUUUCAAACUCAUUUAAAUAAUUUAAAAAUAUGUCUUCAAUUAAUUUUAAUGAAACAAAGCAUGAUUUUUUUUUAAUUUUUUUUUCUUUACCAAAUAAAGCAUUAUUAUAAUACGUUGAUUAAAUUUUCAUCAUGUCUCUCAAGAUUUGGAUUAAAUAUACUUAGUUGUCAUAAAUUUGAAAUUUUAUUUAAUGUAUUUUUUAUUUUAAAUUAAAAAGAUGAAUGCAAAUAAAAAAAAUAUGUAUAUUUUAUAAAAUUUUAAAUUAAACGAAGGAUACGUGUAUUUAACCAAGGUGAAUGAAAUUAAUCCAAAUACUUUUUGGUAACUUGCAAAAUAUCUUGACGAAAUCAUUAUGGCAGGCAUCGUACAAGCUCAACCCUUGUCGCCUUGCUAGAAAUAGAGAAACAAAAAGACCCCCAAAUUGGGUUGCAUCCUAAAUAUGAAGAAGUGGUAACAAAGGAAGAAAAAAUGCUGUGUUAUUGAAUAGUUAAUACAUUGAACAUGAUAUGUUACAUAGAGAGCCAGAUUAAUCCUAGUGGAAUUCCACUGUCACGAUGGUAACCUAGGGUUAUGUUUGGUUAUUGAAAAUACCAAGAAAAGAAAAAAAAAUAUAAAGGAAAAUAAUUUUUUCAUUUUUGAUUGUCUUAUAAAAGAUAUAAAAAAAAAACAAAUAUAAUUAAAACUAAUUAAAAAUUUAGGUAUUUUUAAAUUAUUUAAUUUUUAUAUUAAUGAGCGAAAAUAAAUAAAAUAAGUUUAAAAUAACAAAAAAAAUAAUUUACCGAUUUUUAAUCUAUAUUUUAUUUUACUUUUUCUUUGUAUUUUUUUUUUCUUAUAUUUUCCCUCAAAUUUUCUGAAUCAAACAUAGCAAAAAAGGAGCUACCCCUUUCGAAAGAAACUCCCAAGAAUUUCAAAGAAACCUGCUGAGAUAAUGAAUGAGGGAUCACUGUCGGUAAACAGUAUCCAUUCUUUUGGGAGGACUUUCAAACUGAGAAGUUGUUUUCAUGACUUGGAAACAAAAUUUUGAGCUCUAAGGGGGUCUGUAUUUGGGCCCUAAAAUUCAAUCCAUCAAUCUGAAAAAUGCUUAGGAUAAUGAUUUGAUUUAGCCACAAUCACUAAACAAAUUCCAGAGGAAAAUUUCGCUACUCAUAGGUGGCUGAUUCUCAUAAAAAGACAUCGUGGUAGGGUGUCUCAAGUGCAGGCUCACCAUCAACUUGCUGCCCUUUUUAGAUUAUUGUAAAAUGAUUUCACAUGAAGCCCAAUGCAAAACUUUGAAAGAAAAGGUUGGUGGAGACGUGAAGAAUAUGUAACCCAUAGGCCAUAACUAGUACCGAAGAUUAUUGAACAAACAUUCAAGGUUUUUGUAUAGACGAAACUGAAAAGAAUGUGUACCAGACUCAGGCGUUCAGAUCAGAUGAUGCCGUAAUGUGGAUUGUGGAGGAGCAUUGUGCAGACAGAUAAUGAGAUUCUGAAAGCGAGGCCACUGAUGGGCCCUUGGAAGGGGGGCGUGCCUUCAAAAUUAUAUAUAUAUAUAUAUAUAUGUCAUUGAAAAUUGGAAGCAACUUUUCUUCUUAAGUUAUUUUAAUCGAAGAAGAAACAAAAAGUUAAAAACAUACAUUAUUCUUCCUUCUUACGAGGUUUCCGGGUCUAAAUUACUAUGGUCUCUGCAACUGGCGUCGUUUUCUCUCCCCUCUCUCUAUUUUCCCUUUAUUUUUUCACUUUUAGAAAGAAGCAUCCCAUCAAGAAUCUACUACAACCCUACGCUUCCAUUUUGAUUUAGAAAGUUAAAAAUAAGUUUAAGUUAAAAAAAAAUAUUUUCUUAUAUAAUUAUUUAAACUUAUUUCUUUUCCUUUUUAUAUAAAGAAACAAAUAUUUUGCAAAUAAAUAAAUUUCUAAUUAUUUUCAUUAACAUAAUAAUAAUAUUUUUCAUAUGACUUUAAUCACAAUUUUUUUUACCACUUGUCCAAGGCGGUGAGAGGUGAUAAAAUGUAUUAAAAAAACGAUUAAAUUGCAUUAGGUAUAGAAGUUUUGUGCUUCAAUUAUCACUUAUAAAAAUAAAAUAAAAAUAGUCAAAUUUGAGUGUGCAAGUUGGUAUUCGUAUGUAGAAGGAAUUGGGGGAUUUGGGGGUCCUAACAAAUUUGAUAUGAUUGAUGGAAGGAAAUGAUUAUUAUAGGAUAAAGUCCGAAUGAAACGCUGACGAGGGGGGAAAAACAACAGUGGCAAUGCACUAUCCACAGAUCCAUGAUUGAUUUAUGUUAGCAAUAAUGAAUUAUUUUGACUUUGAUAACCUUGGUUAAGAGAAUUUGGUCUUGUUAUUAUCAUUUUUUCAAAAAAAAAAAGUGUAGGUAACUAGGUAGUUGAUUUAUUAGAAUUUAGAAAUGAGGAUCCCCUCCUCCUGCAAGAGCCGUGACAGACAUGCCUGCUUUCUUGCCAGAUUAUACCAAUGUGCCCAAAUAAUCCCCCAUCUAUCAUCUCUGCACCCUGGAACACGUCACUCCCUCCUUUGAGCAAUAAAAUAUCUCUUUUAUUUUCUUUUGAACCACUCUUCUAUUUCUUUGUACCAGACUGGACCCAUUUAAAUUCUUCGCUACGCUGUUCCCAAGGACUACGAGAAUCAAAAUAGCAAAAUUCUUGAAUCAUUUUAAUGGGUUCAGAAACCACAUGUUUCUCUAGAUCAUAAGAGGAAAAUCUUUUUGGAUGGUGUUUGUGUUGUGUUGUGUUCAAUAUUAAAUACUCAAUUAAAUAAGCUAAAUCAAAUAUCACAUGAAAAAUAAUCAAAUUAAAAAUAGGGAGAAUUAUGUUUUGAGGGUAGAUGGACCCCAAAUUAACAAAAGGUUCAUGUAACUCUUCAAAUUGAGCCCAGACCCAAUGAAAAUAUGGAAAUUGAGUUGAAGUAUAUCAUCAUUCAGUAUUUCCAAAAAUGUCCUUUGUUGAUUUUGAGAAAAAAAUUAAUAUUUUUGAAAAAUAUUUUUAUGUAAUUUAAUAUUUUUUUAAAUACUUUUAUUUAAUUUAAUAUUUUUAAAAAAUAAAUUUAUUUAAUUUAAUAUUUUAAAAAAUAUUUAAUUUAAUAUAUUUUUUAAAUACUUUAAUUUAAUUUAAUAUUUUUGAAAAAAAUUUUAAUUUAAUAUUUUUGAAAAAAAAAUUAUUUAAUUUAAUAUUUUUUAAAACUAUUUUUAUUUAAUUUAGUAUUUUUGAAAAAAAAUUAUUUAACUUAAUUUUAUAAAAUAUUUUAUAUGUGUUCUUAAAGGGUAUAUUUGUCCGUUACUAUUUCAUAUCCUUCAACUCAAUUUAAAGAGUUAUAUGGACCUUUUGUUAAUUUGGGGACCCAUCUACCCUCAAAAGAUAAUUCUCCCUUAAAAAUAUAAAUUUAAAUAUGACAUAAUUAUUAAAUAUGUUAGAUCUUGUAUGAGUUUAUAAGAUUUAUGUUUCAAAAUAACAUGUUUAUAAUUCAUCUAUUGAUUUAUAAUCAAAUUUUAAAUAAAUUAAAGUUAUUCAAGUUAAUAAAUAUGAUUUAUGUUAUAAAGACUAACUAAAAAAUAAUUUAUUAAUUAAACGGAUCCUGGUCAAUAAAAAUUUGAUUUAAAUACGAUCAUACUUAAUCAAAACUUAGGUCAAAUUGUAUUGAUAAAUUACAUCAAAACCUUGUUGUGUUCAAUAUUUUAUAUUAAACUAUUUUUUAAUAAAAUUAUUUUUAUAAAUAUAAUAUUACAUCAUUUGGAGAAACAAAAUAGUAUUAUAUUGAUUUUACAUAUAAAGCAACCAGUUAACCCCUCAUUAUUUUGAUCCAUUUCACAUCCAUAUCAUUCUCAUAAUUUUUUUAUAAUAUAUUAACAUGAUGGACGGUAAUUGAGGGUAGAAAAAAAAGAUGAGAAGAAUAAAAUAAUGUGAAUCCUCUCUAAAUGUUACAUCUUCUGACAAAUGAAGUCUAUAGAAAUGUGUAAAAAAAAAAAAAACACUUAAUUGUGAGGUUCACUUGAUUUAGCAAAAAAUUAAUAUUUUAUUUGUUGUGUGAUUUAAAAAUAAUAUUUUAUUUUUAAAAAUAAAAAAUUAUUUUUAAAGUUUUUUAACACUAUUUUACUAUUGUUCUUUGAAAUAAUUUUUAAAAUUAAAAUGAAAUAACUAAUAAUUUUUAGAUAAUAAAUUAAAGUUGUUUUUAUUAGAUUUUAAAAAUAAAAGAAAAAUAUAAAACCAUUUGAUCAAAUUUUUUUAAACUUAUUUUUAAAAGGUUUUUUUUUUUUUUUUUUUUUUUCUAUCCUAAGUUAAAAGAUAAAAAAUAAUUUUUAAAGAUAGGUUACGAGCAAAUGCCACAAACUUUUUUCUUCUCUUUCCCUUGUUCGGAUAGAAGUGAAAAAUAUCCUCCCAUGGAUCGACAUUACGUGAGCCAUCACCAUUCCCCAACUGCAAUUCAACCGCCAAAGCUGAGGUGUCAUUAUUAGUUUGAACAAAAGUCAGCAUUGUCCACGUGGUGACAAGCGGAACUGACCCAACUUGCAAGGCAAAAAAAUAAAUAAAAUAAAAUGAAAAAAUCAGAUCACCAUUAUGACGUCAGUCCAAUUGCUGACCUGGCCGCCGUCCCCCAUUUGACCCACGUGUUCAUUUAACCCAUUCGCCGUAUGCCGUGGCUCCCCACCCAUAUGGCCAUAUCUGCCAUUUAUUUUAUCCGUUGCCUCCAUUCGGUUUUUGGAUUUUACCCAUUCGCCCUCGUCUAUUCCCAUUUCCGUAUUUGCCCACCAAGGAAAUUCAAUUCCCAUGCUUUUGUUUUACAUUCAAAUCCUCCCCCCUCUAUAUAAAGGAGGGAGUAGGGCUUGAAAGUUUCUCAAGCCAACAUGGACUGUUGAGAGUGAAAGACAGAGGAGCCACAAACAAAUAUCACUCACUCAAACCAAAGCCAAAACCAAUACCGAAUUCAAUUCAAAUGACUUCUUUCUCUCUCAUCAAUUCCCUGAAUUCCGAUUCCGAUUUCAAUUUGUUAUCGGAUUCUUUUUCCUGGGAAAACUCCCUACCUUUCAAUGAAAACGACUCCCAGGAGAUGCUCCUCCUGGGCAUGCUGGCCAGCUCCACUCAGGAAACCUCAGAAACAGUUUCUUUGAAUCGAGUGAAGGAGGAAGAAGUGACUUCCCAGGAAAAUCCCGAGAAGGAGAAGUCAUACAGAGGCGUUAGGAGGCGGCCAUGGGGGAAAUUCGCAGCAGAAAUAAGGGACUCGACCAGGCAUGGCAUAAGGGUGUGGCUGGGAACAUUUGACAGUGCAGAGGCAGCUGCUCUGGCCUAUGAUCAAGCUGCUUUUGCGAUGCGGGGCCCUGCGGCAGUCCUCAAUUUCCCGGUGGAAAGAGUGAAGGAAUCGAUGCAGGAGAUCAAGUGCAUCUUGGAGGAGGGGGGCUCACCAGUGGUGGCCCUCAAGAAGAGGCACUCUAUGCGGAGAAAAAGUCCUUGCAAGAAACAUAAAAGUGAAGAGGUGAGGUUAGAAAAUGUGGUAGUGCUGGAGGAUUUGGGUACUGAAUACUUGGAACAGCUCCUCACUUUCUCUGAGACCUCUAGUCCUUGAUCAUCAUCAUCCAUCACCUGGAUAGCUUCUUCUCUUUGCUCUGUUUCUUACUUUUCUCUCUCUCUCUCUCUCUCUCUCUCUUUUUUUUUUAUGUAAUUUUUCUUAAUGUAUUUUUGGAGAUGGCGGGGGUGUAGUGGUGGCAAUUAUCCAUCUAGAAUUUUUCAAAAGAUAUGUUCUUUUGUUUCUUUGUAUAAAGUUGAAAAGUGGGGAUCAAUUGUGAUGGUGCUCUAUGUUCAUCCACCCAAUUUAUAUAAUCAAGGUGAUUAAUGUUUUUUGAUAUCAACAAUUUGUGAAUGACAUAGAGAGAGAGAGAGAGAGAGACCUUAUUUUCUACACUCAUUACGGUGGUUUCCAUUUGGGGAAGGAAAAGGAAAUGGCUAAGAAUGUUACCAAAAGAAGUGGGGUGGCUUUCAUAUGCGUGGUGGCAUACUUGCAUACAAACUUUUCAAUUGUGUUCUGCAUGCCACUCGGGUCAAUUUCAUUUCUUUUACUCCUAGUAGCCUAAUUGGAUUUCCUUUUUCUCAUGAGACAUCAAAUAAAUUUCAUUUUUUUAUAUUUAAAUAGUUAGGUAAGUUUGAUAGUGAGUUAUAUUUUAUACAUUAAUUCAUCUUUUAGAAUGUUGUCUACAAUAUAAACAGUGUAAUUAAUUUCAUCAUUACAGAACAGUCAUCUUAUAAAAUAACAUAAAAAUUAUUGGAUCACUUGUAUGGCACCACUGAUUUGGACUUGGUAUGGCUCUGUUUGGCUUCAUAGAAAAAAUUUGGACCCAAUUUGAAUGUCUUGCAUAAAAAGAGAUACGUCCCACUUUGAAUGAUAUUGAAGAAAAAAAUUUCUGAUGAAGAAUAUAUUGUUGGCAGGGUCAUGCAGGCCAAUAGGGAAACGAUAAAUUCAGAAGAAUGAGUCCAAACCAGUGGGCUUGAAAAUUAAGAAGAGAAUUGCUGUAUAAAACAAUCAUUUCUUAAUCGAGUUCACUUUCUGAAUAAUCGUCACUUUGAGAAUGCAUACUUAGGAAGAUGAUGAUCCUUAAUGGGAAUAAUCAAAGGCAUCAAAAAAUUGUUCUGGAACAAUUCUUGAUUGUCUCCAGUAAAAUUCAAAGUCAAAAGUCAAAAGUCCAGUCGGUCAACACCAAACCAGGCCAGUCCAAAAGACAUUAAUUUGCAAUCUAGAAUCUAUGAUGAGGUGGCGAAAUCAAACCUUGGCUUUUCACCAGGGAAUGGUACUCUGAAUUUGGUCAGUUCACUGUUUCGAGUGAAUAGGGUGUAGUAAUUAGUAAAUCAUAUUUUAGAUUUGUGUCACAAGUUACAAGGGAUAUGGGCUGACGUUCAAUUUUGGCGACAAUUUGUGGGCCCGUAUAUUUGUUGAGAUGUGGAAAUUGGGUGUGUGCUUUUUUCUGCUACCACAUAAAUAUAUUUCUUUGAAUUGAAGAGUGUUUCAGACCAUUUUUUUUCAAGUCACAAAUGGACAACUGAUUGAGAUUGUAUUGGUGAGAGUAGGAGUUUAUUUUGGGCUGGUUGAGCGAAGUUGAAAGUCGAGUUGGACCUAACCCUUGAAUUCAGCAGACUACAGUCCGAUCCUGUAUUUUGGAUUUAGGGAACCUUCUUUCCCAGAAGCUUCGUCUGGGUUUUAAAGUCUAAAUGUGGCUACUCUUAAACAUUGGAGAAAGGAUGAGCGUUCACAAGCAAAUGGGUAAUUGUGGAUGGUUCAAGGACCUGGCCAGCUGGUCUUCAAGUUUGGAUGCCGGUUUGGGCCUGAGAGAGUCUUUGCAAAGUGACUUCACUUCAGCCUAUGAGAUCAAGAUAUCAUGGUGAUGUCCGAUCACUUAGGUUUCAUUUUCACCUCGGAUUACCGUUACCAUGUUCAUGAAUAAAAAUAAAUAAAUAAAUGAAGCCUUAUAGAGAAAUUAAUGAAGUGAGCUAUACAAGCAACUGGGCCAGGAGCCUACAAGGCAGAAAUUCCCUGCCCUAGACUAGGCCGAAUAAAUUAGAUGAAUGAAUUGGGGAAACCUGGGCCAGCCACACAUCCUCCUGAAGGCUGAUGUCGAACUCGCUUACGAGGAAUGGACAUGGGAGAUUGGGCUGGGACCAAAUAACCAAUUGACAGCCCUAUCCUUGUGGCAAGACGUCAGUAAAAUGGUUCAUUCUGAUUUUACGCUGCCAUUCAAUUUAAUUUUAAUUUUUGUUUAAAGCGAUGUACAAAUUGAAUGGUGUCUAGUCACUUAAAGAGUGGUUCAUAAUACACUUAAUUUAAACAAAAAAGAAAUUAUUAGAUAGGGGAUUCUCCAAUAAAAACCACCCCAUCUUGUCAGCAAGUCCGGAAACUUCCUUCACUUAGGGCGUAUUUGUUUUUUUAACUUUAAUAUUAAAGAAAGUUGGUUAAACCUUAUGACACUUUUAUAUUAUUUUAUGAAUUUUUUUUAAUUUUUAUUUUAAUGGAAUUUUAACUUUAAUACAAGUUGGAGUAAUUCUUAUCUUAAAAACAAAUCAAAAUUACUUUAAUUUUAUAUAGAAAUAAACUUACAGUAAAUUUACCAUGAAAAUUUCUAAGUCAAAUACACCAUAAGUGCUAGUAUUUUAUAAUAUUUAGAAACAUGUUAAAUUAUUAUUAUUAUUUUUUAAAAUUAUUAGUUUUCAUAUUAGUUUUAGGGAAACUUGUGCUUUAGGUCUUUUAUUUGCAAAUAAUAUGGUUUUCAAAUCCUAAGAAUAGAAAAUAUGAGAAUCAACUGUUAAUGUGGAAAAUAAUAUCAAUUUUGUGCAAUCUCUAUUGACUCAUUUUUUUGUGCCUAGAUUGCCUUCACCCACUUCCAUGUCAACAACCACAUUAAUAGAUUGUUUUUUUUUUAUAAAACAAAUAAUUAUUAUGUUUAAAAUUUUGGGGAAACUCUCUAUCUCUCUUACUUCUUCACUACAUCCGAGACCCAUCUUCCUUAAACGUUUGCCUCUCAUUUUGCCCUAACCCCAAAUCUCAUAAAUUUCUCAUUUUCUUGCCUCAUUUGAAAUAUGAAGAUGACCGAUUCUCAAACAUCUCUGUCUCUCUCUUCACGUUUUGACCAGUCUAAUUGGAAACCCAUUUUCCAAAAACCUUCUUUCUUUCAUUUUGCCCUAACCCCACUAUCUCCCUCUUCAAGACCUAAUCACCCAAACUCGAUAUCUAUCUUCCCAAAACCUUCAAGCAAACUGAACUAGACCCAUAUCUUCUUUUUUCAUCAUCAAAGGUGAAAUUUUUUUAAGGCUUUUGGAAACCGAAUUGGAGCUUUCCCUUCUUCUGGGAUUAAUCAUUCGCAAGUGAGUUUUCCAUUUAAGGCUUUGUUUGGCUGUUGAAAUCUUGGGAUCAAAGGUCUUUUAUUUUCAGGUUUCUUGUAUUUUGCUUUAUUUUCUUGUAUAUAACAAUAAUCAUUGUAACAUAUGCUAGUAGUUACCCUUGGUGCAACUUUACAUUUCCAAAUACCCUAAAGUCCAAAGCUUUUAAUUCCCUUUUCAAAGCUUUCAACUUUGAAAGCAGACUAAACCAUAAGAACUAUGAAACUUAUAUCUCUAUCACCACUAAUUAAGCAUGUCUAUGAAUCCUUCCACUUUAAGUCACUUAUUCUCAAACCAAGAAGGGCUCCUCUCAUUCUCACCCCACCUCAUCUAAAUGAGGGAAAUGAUCAAUUGCAGCCAUGCUUUGCACCAAAUUAGAGAAGUGAUCCUCCCAAUCAUCCAUUACCAAAAAUUGAUCAUGCUGAUGAGAUCAUAAGAGUCUAUUCGGAACUCCCAGUUUACUUGCCUCUUAUCUCAGGAUCCUCCAUUACCCCCUGUCUUUCCAACAUCAAAUCAACUUGCAAACAAUUCCUUUGUAGAUAAAAUGUUUUUAAUAUUGCAAAAGGGGACUUAUCAUAAUGGUUGAAUCGAUUUAUUUGAUAUAAUCACUCAAAUUCAAGCUUAAAAUUGAUCAUAAUAAAAUGUUUUUAAUAUUGUUAAAAGGAGAUUAUAAUGGUUUUAUUUGAUAUCAUUACUAAAAUUCAAGCUUUCAAACAUGCUCUACAAAGAAGUUCUAAAAGACUACAAGAAAGAGUUUCCACUAAAGAAAAACAAUGAAACCAUUUCUACUAAAGACAAACAAUGAAACCACAGAUGCUUUGUGAAAUAUGUACCCGCACAAUCCAACAAACUUUAGAAAUUCACAAACACUACCUAGAAUUUUUGCUGACCAGCAAAAAAUUUAUGCAAUUUAAUUCUUAUUGUUAUUAUUAUUUUCAAUGUGAACAAAUAUGAUUGAAUUAUGAAGUAUUUGGCCAGAAGAGGAUCUUGCCUAAUUAUAGUCAUUAAACAACCAUUUAUACCAUAGCCUCUAGACUUUAAAAAGUUUAUAAAACUCAAGGGCUUCCACCCAAUUUCUAGAUAUCUCCAUAACAUUCUUCUGACUAUUAGAAAGCAAUUACCACUUUAAUUUUUCAUUUCAUGAGUGUUCAAUUCAGAAAAAGACCAGGAUCGAACUUGCGAUCAUGCAGUCGAAAAUCCACCUGUGCAUGAAACUAUUGCCUCACGAUUGCAAACUCAAGUUGGAGUCCAGUAACAACUCUAGGUUUGCUGAUGUGCUCCAUUUGAAAUAAAGGAACUAAAGAAUACUUUAUAAAGAUUAAUUACCUUCAUAUUUUAGGUUGGGGUUAAGGCAAAAUGUGAUAGAUUGAGAGGAAGAAAAUAUAUCUUGUUCAGGAAGCCAAUAUUUUGGAGUUCACCUUUCCAUUCGAGUCCACUCUGCUAUAGCAAAAUCAGAGUCACAACUAUGCCUCUUUAAGCUAUCCUUUAAUUGGAUGAAUUGCAGAUUUGGUUGCUGAGAAAGUGGAUAAGAAAGAAAAAUGCAUACUGUAGCUUGAGAUUAAGAGUUUGUUUUCUAAAAUGAGAGAAAGGGAAAGAGAAAAAAUGCAUAUUGUAGCUUGAGAUUAAGGGUUUGUUUUCUAAAAUGAGAGAAAGGGGAAGAGAAAUGUUCGACAACUUUGAGAUGACAAAUUUUUAGAUUUGGAAAAUUUGAGAUGAGUCUCAGGUUUUUUUUUUUUUUUUUUUGUCUUUGUCUUUGUUUUUUUUUUUUUUUUUUGUUUUUUUCCCAAAAACAACCUGUUAAUGUGGUUGUUGACAUAGAAGUGGGUGAGGGCAAAAUGGGCAUAGAAAAAAGAGUCAACACAAAGUGCACAAAACCCAUAUUAUUUUCCACAUUAAUGACUGAUUCUCAUAUUUCUUGUUCUUGGGAUUUGAAAACCAUAUUAUUUGCAAAUGGACCUCCCAAAGCACAGGUUUCCCUUAGUUUUAUGUCUCCAUCUACAUUUUACAUAUAAAUAGAUUAUUUUAUAAAAUUUGUUUUGUAGAUAUAUUAGUUAAUAAUUAUAUAAUUAAUGAUAUAGAAAACAUAUAAAAAUCAUAUUUAAAAAAGAUAAUUACAUAUUCCUCAACAAUCCAUCCCAAGAAUUCGAGGUUGAGUUGAAAACAUGUAGAGUCUUUGAUGUUAUUAUAAUCAUAUCCAACACAUAUGAUUAUUGUUUAUGAGAUAUUAUUAGAAAGUUUGUCUUAAAAUAAUUGAUUUAUUACCCACCUUUAGCAAAUGCCCAUUUUUGCGUCUUUCAAAAUUUUCAUUUUUUUUUUGUUUAAAAGAAGUAUUGUAAAGAAUGAUGAAAUAAGAAAUUUGUUGAGAAAGUGUGAGUAAAUAAUUUUACAUAAAAAGAGAUUUAAUACUUGAUAAAUAAAAUAAUAAAAUCAUGAUUUCUAGUUGUAUAGGGCCGGGUGGAUGGAGUGGCUAAGAUGUAAUUCUUGAAAUAGAGGAGACAACAUCAAUGUAUAAAAGUUUAACAGAGAAGGAAAGUGUGUUUGAAUGACUUUAUUUUCUUCAUUUAAAGUUUUGACGAUGAGUGUUUAUACAAGAUAAAUUUUCAAAUGAUAGGACUCCUAUUUACAUGGAGUUUGUGAUAUACUAUGAUUAUACAAAUUUAAAAUUCAAACAGAUUCAUGAGUUGAUAGGAGUCUGCUCAAUACGCCCCUUCAAAAUGGUGGGAGAUAGCACACCAAUCUUGACUCGAAGGGCCUAAACUCGUGCAGAAGAUGAGGGCUUUGUUAGAGCAUCGACAAGUUGAUCCGUGGUUGACAUAUGGGACACCUUGAGCUCACCUGAUUAAACCUUGUUUCAAACAAAAUGAAAAUCAAUCGCCGAUGUGUUUCAUGGAGAGUGAAACAUGGGAUUUGCACAAAGAUAUGUUGCACCCACGUUAUCACAAGAGAUAGGAGGUGGUGAUAAAUUUGAAACACUAAGUUUUGAGAGAAGAGAAUUAACCCAAAGAACCUUUGAGGCUGUAGAGGCCACGACGUGAUAUUUCGCUUCAGUGGAAGAGCGUGCUAUGAACUUUUGUUUCCUCGAUGACCAAUACACAAGAUUGUGACCAAGAAAAACAAUGGGAGCAUUGGUGGAGGAUCUGACAUAAGGAUUCCUUGCCCAUUCAACAUUCGAAUAUGCAUGUAGAUUGAUGGGCGAUUUCUUAUGCAAGAACAGACCAUGCACCAUUGUGCCGACUAAGUAUCUAAGCAAUCUUUUAACACAAGACCAAUGUGUUGAUGUUGGAUGGUGCAUAAAUUGAGAUAAUUUAUUCAUCAAGAAGGUGAUGUCAGGGCUAGUAAGAGAGAAGUAUUGAAGGCUUCCAACAAUUGACAUAUAUUUAGUGGGACCAGGAAAAGAGGUGUCAUCACACAGAUUUGGAACAUUGUUGAGGAACAUCAAUGAUUGAACUGGUUUGGUAGCCACCAUUUGUGUUUUCUUAAGAAGCUCUCGAAUGUACUUGAGAUAAAAAUAAUCCUUUGGAAGUAUGUAUCAUUUCAACACCAAGAAUAAAAGAUGAAGUCCUGAGAUCCUUAAUGGAGAAUUUGACUGCUAAUUGAGAGAUCACGCGAGCACGAAAAACAUUAUUGUUACUUGUUAAAAUAAGAUCAUCAAUAUAAAUAAGUAGGUAAACAAUGAGACCACUCUUUUUAAAAAUGAAGAGGGAUGUCUCGGUUUAGGAGUUGACGAAGGCUAUUGAGAGGAGAAAUUGGCAAAGUUCAUGAUACCAUGAUCGUGGAGCUUGUUUAAAGCCAUAAAAAGCCUUACAAAGUUGGCAAAUGUGAUGAUGUGUGUAUUCGUGAACCCAGGAGGUUGAAUCAUGUAAACAUCUUCAUGAAGUGUCCUAUGCUAGAAUGCAUUAUUAAUGUCCAAUUCAUGAGUUGAUAGGAGUCUGCUCAAUACAAUGUGGGAGUGUGAUUUCAAAAUUAGGGUAAUUUCGAAAUGGAUUUUGUAUUCACAAGUUGAAUUUCAAAAUUAUUUUGAAAUGGUCUUUUAACUUUAAGCAGUUGUGUUCAAAAGGUCAUAACUUCUUCGUUUCAAUUUUGAUUUACACAUUGUUUAAAACAUUGGACUCUUUACUUCCCGAGCUUCAAAACGAUAUAUAGUAUGCUCAAAAAUGACAUCAGGAUUGGUUCAAAUUUCAUCUUGAUAUUAGAGUACAUGUUGUGAUUAGAUUUUGAGUUCCAAAUUUCCAUGUAAACUUGAUUGCAUUUGCUUCAAACCUCCUUCAUUAUGGUUGCUUGCCCUCUAUCUCACUUUGCAACAUUUGUUACUAGUAUUUUAUGUCCAUGACUUACUCAUUUCAACCUUUCUUGGAUUCUUCAUGGUUCACAAAUUAUGGAUUCUUCAUGGUUCACAAAUUGAGUCUUUCAAUUAUGCAUGUUUAACUCCUAUUUCCUUGGUUGAUAAUGACUUUUACACUUAUCAUUUUCUUUUAUUCUUUAAACCUGAAUUUAGACUUACAAAAAAAAGUUAGAUCCAUAACUAGGGUCUUAGCAUCAAUUUGAGUUAAGUUGGAUGAUUUGAAAAUUUUAUAUUACAUAAAUCAUAUCAUACAUGUGCCAUUGGAGUGCACAUUUUGGCUCUAAUCAUGUUCCAACCCAUUGUUUUACUCUUGCAUGAAGUAUGUGGCCAUUGAUUUUAAUUUUAUUUGCGAUUAGGUUCAAAAUGGUGCUUUUGUGUUGCUCAUGUGUCAUCAGAAGAUCAACUAAUGGAUUCUCUAACAAAACUACUACAUCAUAGUCAUUUUUUUUUUUCUUAAGACCAAGAUUGAGAUCUCCAAUCGGAGCCAACUCCAUCUUGGGGGCAUGUUAGUGAAAGAUAAAAUUUAUCUUUAAUUUAAAUAUUAAUAUUUAUCAGUUAUUAGUUUUAAUUAGAGUAAAAGAUAGAGUUUAAAUUGGAGUAGGAGAUAAACUUGUGUUUGAACUAGAAUAGAAGAUAAAGUAUAAAGAUUUAUGUUUGAAUUAGAAUAAAAUAUAAAGUUUGAAUUAGAGUAGAAGAUAAACUUGUUCUUUAUUUGUAUAUAAAUAUUCAUCAAUUCUUGAGAAGAAGAUUAUUUCAUAGUUUUUCUAUCUUCUUUUUUCUUCAUACAUAUCUGCAAGAAAUUGAAGAUUUCAAGUAAAAUAUUUUCUGUUUUAAAUAGUGAAAAAAGCUAGAAAUUCACUUUGUUAUCUCUUGGGGUAAAUUGACAAGGUUUAACGUUAAGAAGGUGAAUUAUUUUUUCAGAAAAACUGAAGUAGCUAGGAUAUCUGGCCAGUUGUGAUCGAUAAAAAAGUUGUAAAAUCUCUCAUAUACUAAACAGGUUUUGGAUGUUGGUAUGGUAAAUCCAUCUGCAGUCAUUCGUCAUCUCAUCUAGUGAGAUGUUUGGGAGGUGGUGACCGCCGGAUUGGGUUUCAUUUGGUUAAAUCUGUCAGUGGGUUGGCUACUACCCGAGCCUCUUGCUUUGGGGGAGGUGGGUUCUAGAUAUAAUGUUCAAACCAUUUUAGUUAUCAUAUGCAUGACAUGUAAGCAUAAUCUCUUUAUCACUUCUUCAAUGGGAGUUCAUGGUUAGGAAUUGACUUCUUUUCUUCUGGGAUGCUUGGCAUGUAAUGGACAAAGUUACUUUUAUAUCGAUCGAAUUUCUAGUAUUAUAGUGAAGACUUACCCUUUUGACAUUUUAUAUCGAAUUAUAGAAGAUGAAAGGGACAUACAUGCAAUCGACUGACGCUUUAGUGAAUAUGCUGAAAAUAUGCUGAUGCUGUGGAGAUCGUAUGAGGACAGAGGAAAAAGAUAGAAAUGGAUAUAUAAUUAGACCUAGGUUUUUAUUAAAUGAGAUGGGGAACAUAGAGUGAGGGAAAAUCAAAAUUUUUGGCUGCAGUUCACAUUGGUGAUAUUUUGGAUUGACAAAGACUAACGACUUUUCUAUUUUUCUUUUCGGCCUGACUGGAUAGUUGGACAUGGACAAUACAGAAUCCACAGAAGGAUUGUUGGGACCGCUGAAAAUUAGCUAGAAGAAGCUGAGGAAGUAGUCUACGUAGUCAAAUACCAAACACAAAGAAAGAAAGAAAUGGAUAUCAUGGAUGCCUAGAGUUAUACUCCUAAUACCGUCACAGGUAUUUUUCUUUCCUCCUUUUUUUUUCUACGAUAAUUAGAGCAUUUCUCCUCCUCCUCCUCCUCCUCCCCCCACCCCACCACCAAAAAAUAAAAAAAUAAAUUAUUGCAAGUAACACUUCAAAUAUUAAUUUAUACAUUCUAAAGUAUAUAUUCAUGAAAUAACUUGAGUAUCAUACAUUAGUUCUCAAAAAAAAAAAAAAAAAAAAAAAAAAAUUACUGGAAGAGAAAAGUUUAAGAAAACAUAAAAAUAUUCAACUACUAUUUUAAAGAGAAAAUUUAAUUUUUACACUAUAAAUUUGAAGAGAACUUUUACAUGCAUCUUAUAUAAACUACCAUUUUUUGCUAAAAGGCUUAAAUUUGUCAAAAAUACCCCUUAGGUGCUUAACGUUCUGGUCAUAAUAUAAUUGGCAUCUUUUCUCAAACAUAAGGCCUGUGUGUGGGAACAAGAUUUAAUGUUAAUGAGCUUCGCCACCGACAUUUAGUUCCAGAAAUCAUUAUUUUAAUAGAGUGGGCUCAAUUUACAACUUUAAUUAAACUCUAACCAACUGCAUUGUGAAAUGAAUAUGUUUCUUUCGUGGUGAAUCCAAUGAGUUGGGAGUCAAACUUUGCUUCAUUGUGUAUAGAUGAAAUGUUAAGACUCCAUGUAACCUCAAACAUUUCCGCAAUNNNNNNNNNNNNNNNNNNNNNNNNNNNNNNNNNNNNNNNNNNNNNNNNNNNNNNNNNNNNNNNNNNNNNNNNNNNNNNNNNNNNNNNNNNNNNNNNNNNNUUCUUUCGUGGUGAAUCCAAUGAGUUGGAGUCAAACUUGCUUCAUUGUGUAUAGAUGAAAUGUUAAGACUCCAUGUAACUCAAACAUUUCCGCAAUGAGCGGGAGUUCUAAAUUUAAUAAUUGAAAUUGUCAGUGGAACCAGUGGACAAGAGUUGGUUUGUGGUUGACAAACUUAUCCGUUUGAUCUUUACUUGAACAGUUCCAGUGUGUGGAUGGGUACUGAUGAAGUGUGCGCAUUUAUUUUGAGAAGCCUGCUUGUUCGCAUAGAUUUUAACGACAUGAACAUUGUGGUAAGGUUAGAGAGUAAUGCGAAUGUAGGAGCUUAUAUUAGAAAUGACACAAACACGUAAAUAGAAGUAAUCUAUAUAUGAUAUUACUCAUGGACUACAAGCAAAGAAGUACAAUACAUGGAGUAAGUGAUGAAAUGAGCAUUCCUCACUACUACUGCUUGACUGAUGGAACAUGAUGCACGAGAUAGCAUAAGUAGUAGUAGGAAGCAGCUCUUAUUUGUGGCGUCGGUAUACAUCAUACUAGGUAGAUGGUUCAAUUGGCAUGGAUGGGUGGUGGAGCCUUGAAGUGCUUGUGAUGGGGAGCCCACGGCUUCUUCUCAGGAGUUGGUGGCUUCUUGUAUGGAGUUGAUGGAGGUGUUUCUACUGGAGGGUGGCCAGGGUAGUGACCCUGGGGUGGUGAAGGUUCUUUUGUCGGUGGUGGCCUCACUAUUAUUGGCGGUAGAGUUGGUGGCUUGGGCGUUGGCGGUGGUCUCACUACUCUUGGGGGUAGAGUUGGUGUCUUGUGUUUUGGUGGUGGAGGUGGCUUAACAGGAGUUGGUGGCUUGUAUUCUGGGGGUGGUUUCUCCACCGGAGGUGGCUUAUAAACUGGAGUUGGUGGCUUGUAUUCUGGGGGUGGCUUCUCCACUGGUGGUGGCCUGUAAACAGGGGUUGGUGGCUUAUAUUCUGGGGGAGGCUUCUCCACUGGAGGCGACUUAUAAACAGGGGUUGGUGGCUUGUAUUCCGGGGGUGGCUUCUCUACGGGAGGUGGCCUGUAAACAGGGGUUGGUGGCUUCUCCACCGGAGGUGGCUUAUAAACGGGGGUUGGUGGCUUGUAUUCUGGGGGUGGUUUCCCCAGUGGUGGAGACUUGUAAACAGGAAGAGGUGGUUUGUGCUCAUAUGGGGGUGGCUUGUGGUCAUUAGCAAGUGAGGGAGUGGUGAGGACCACCAAUCCAAGGAACAACACGAGUGAGCAAGCAGAAGACAUGUUUGGGCUCUGGUGAUGCACAAGUAGAAGAAAUGGGAACCAUUUAUAAUGCUUCGAGACCUUGGUUAGCACCAAAAUAUGUCAAAAUCUUGAUUACUUCAUUUCAUACAUAGAUUUAAAAUUAUUUCAAUCAACCAUGAUCCUUAAUUUUCUGGGUGGUCCAUAAAUGUAAUGGGGUCAAUUUGGGACCUAACAAGCUGAGAAGUUUGACAAUGCUGCAAGGCUUCAUCCGAAAGUCCGGGGAAGAAUAUUAGGAGUUACACUCCGUUUCCUUUUUUGGGUGCAUUUUUCUCCUUUAACAUUCUAUUCCCUUUUACAUUAGCAUUUGAUCUUAGCUCAUUUCAAGUACAAGUUUCUUGAACCCUAUACCAUUGUCAAAGUUGAGUAACCAUCUCUACUUUGCUCAAGAAACAUAAAAGACAAUGACAAUAAAGAAAAAGGAGAGAGACCAUACGUGACUUGGUUUAUAGGUGGCUUUGUGUUGACAUUUGAGUAUGGAAGCCGACAUGCAUCUUAGCUUCGAUUUUAAUUAAAUUUGUACAUUAGUGUCUGUGUCAUUCAUUUUGGUAUAAAAGGUCUCUUGAUUUCGUAAGUUUGGUAAGAACCGUUGAAAAUAGCAGUAGCAGCACAUGGUCCACUUUCUUUCACAAAAUAAUUUUAAAAGUUUAGAAGCAUAGGAGGUAACAUUAGUGGCCUUGUGGCUCAGCCACGAGUACUAUGUGGUGCUCGAGAAAUUGAGUUUAAUUUCCUUCCGAUAGUUCAUGAUAAGGUCCGUCACUGUCCUGAGACAGAUUGCGUUUUUUCUUUUUUCCUUUUUUAGUGUUUUAUUGACUAGCUAGGUGUGACUUUUCCUACUUUAAGGCACGAGGCAGAAAAGAAACUGGGAUUUAGUGCUUAAGAAGGCAAAUUUAAUUCGAUUUGGAUCUAAAAUUUGCCAGCAACAUGAGAUUUUCCAGCCUAUCGUUGCUCCACAUAUAGACAAGGCACUUGUAGAAGUGGCUUGUUUGUAGCCAUUCCCGAUAUUUGGACUCACUUGAUUCACCGGACACUUUGAUAAAAUUUAAUAUUUAUUAUUUAAUAAUUUAAAUUGAUUUAAAAUUAAAUUAUACCGAAGUUGUGAUUUAAAAAUUAUUAUUUAAUUCUUACUUUUAAAUAUGAAGAUUAUUUGAUAAAAAUAAUUUAAAAUUUAUUAUAAAUUAUCAAAUUAACAUAUUUAUCCUUAUAAAUUAUAAUUAAAACAGAAAAGGUCAAAUGAUUUGAGUAUCCAUAGAUGUGGUAAAAUAAUAAAAAAGAUUAUAAAAACAAUUAUGAUAAAUAAAGAUAAAAAGUAAAAUGAAUAUGUGAAUUUAAAGAAUAAAUUAAUUAUUUUUAUUUAUUACUUAAAAUUAUUUUUGACUUUAAAUUAUAUUAUUAAAUUAUUUUACCAAACAUACUUAAUUUAGUUAAUAAUUUAAAUUUAAUUUAAGUUAUUAAAUUGAUUCACCAAAUACCCACUUAAUCAAAGACUGAAGUAUACAUUAUUUGGCCAAAUGCAGCUAUUGAAAUUUAACUUUUUCCAAACUUAUUCAUUUUGUGGAAAUAUUUUUAGAAAUGAUUUUAAAAAUGCACUAUUCUGUGUGUUGAUUUUAUAUUUUGGCAUUAAUCCAACAUAGAAAACGGUUCUUAUUUUCGCUGUUAAAUAGGUACCAGAUCCUUAAUUAGUGCCGUGAAUCCGGCAGCUUCCAAUGAGUAAUUUGGACUUGGGUAUUGACAAUGUGUGGCCAUGCUUCUACUAUUUUAUUAUUCUUGAAACAUAUAUGAUAUAUUGGACUUUAUACAGGGAAAAAAAAAAAAAAAAGUCUUCACCAAAAAUGAUUCCUCCUAAAAAAUAGACUCCACAAACUAGGUUUAACAGGA